GUGAACAACCGAUUAAUCCAAUACAUGCAAAUAUUUGGAGAUCCUUCAGGAAUUCCUAUUGUCAUUAUAGAGCAUGUAAUGAAUGCACCUCAACGUACUUCUAGUGAUAACUUGUACGUGAGGAACUUGGACGUAAUAGAUUCAAUUAGCACAAGCACUGUUCCUAGUUCUGAAGCUGUGAAAAGCUAUCAAGUGCAAGUGCUGCGAAAUGUAACACCCCUUACUCGUUUCCGUCGCCGGAAUAGGAUACGAGGCAUUACCAGAUUUUACUGAUUUUUUUUUUUCAACACAACCAAUCCAUUUCAAUAUAUUUUCAAGAUAGAUUUAUAAUAUUCAUAAGAUAAUCUCAUCACAUACUGAAGUCAAAGUUUGUUAGCCAUACCAAUGGCUAUCCAUACAUUCAUUUCAUAUUAACAUCUACUUUACUAGCUUAUACAUGCCAUUGAUUUCCAAAAUAAAGCUUCUUUAUAUACCGAGAUCUUGAGGUUGAUAGUGUGAUGCGUCUCCGACCAAAUCUGACCUCUGAGCUCUUAAUACUACAAAAUAGGAAAAAAGUAAACAGGGUAAGCACUUUGUACUUAGUAAGCUCCUGUAACAAGAAUUAUACUUAUCUAAUAUUUUUCAUACAAUGCAAUAAACAUUCAUACAUCCAUUCAAUACAUUAUUCCCCUAUCAUGCUCAAACUUAACAUUUAAAUUAGUCCAAUAAUUUUCAUGUAUCAAUAAUUUAUACCAUGAUUGAUGAGCUCAUCAAUUCCAUGAUUUCCAUUCCCUUGUUAUUUUCCAUAUUUAUCCCGUUGAACUACUUGGAAUUUCGAUAGAUUUUCAGAGGUACACUUUAGUGUACAAAUUCGGGUCCGUCAAUUCAUAUUCAUGUGCGCACAUUUCCAUUUCAGAGAGCACACUCCCGCGAACCUCAUCCUUACAGCGGGAUUACCAGUCCAGGCUAAAUCCCCUGUAAUAUAAACUCAUAGAGUAUUGUUGGGAUUACCAGUCCAGGCUAAAUCCCCUGCAAUGAUAAUUACUCUAAUGAGCUUGGAUCUGAAUUACCAGUCCAGGCUAAAUUCAGACCCUAAUUCGGAUUACCCGUCCGGGCUAAAUCCAUUUUCCACAUAUUCUUCGGGAGGGCUAUAUCAGAAUAGGAUCACCCGUCCGGGCUAGAUCCUUUUUACCGUCAAUUCCUUUUCAGAGAUCCAUCAAAUUUUCCUUUCAUUCAACCGGAAUUUCUCCCAUUUUUAUCAAAUAUAUCAAUGUUUCAUCAAUUUUCAUACAAUUAACAUCCAAAUCAUUUUCACAUCAAUAACAAACAUUUCAAGCAUUUAAGAAUAUAAUUCAAGUUACACGAACUUACCUCGACACUUGUUCGUAAAUAAAAAUCUACUAAUCCCAAACUUUUUCUUUUCCUCGAUCUUGCUUCGUAUUUGAAGUUUCCAGAUCUAAAUAAAUAAAUUUAAUCAUCAAUCUAAUACAUUUCAUAUUCACAUGUAACAUUCUCUAUAAUUCCAUUAUUAUUCAUAGUUCAUUCAAAGCUGUCUCACUGAGUCACAGUCACUAAAUUAUUUAUAUCCUGAGCUACGAAACUCCAAAUUAAUAUCAAUUAAUUUUCCCUGAAACUAGACUCACAUAUAUUCUUACCAUAAAAAUUUCAGAAUUUUUGGUUUAGCCAACAAGUACAGUUUAUUCUUUAAAAUUUCCCCUGUUUCAGUGUUUGACAGUUCCGACCCCUCUUUACUAAAAAUUAAUUAUCUCAUUGUACAGAAUUUGGAUGAUGUUUCCAUUUGUUUCUUCUGAAAAUAGACUCAUUAAGGAUUCUAACCAUAUAAAUUAUAACUCAUAAUAAUUUUUGUACAAUUUUUAAUUAUUUUCCAAAGUCAGAACAGGGGAACCCGAAUUCAUUCUGACCUUGUCUCACAAAAUCUAUUAUAUCUCGUGAUUUACAAUUCCAUUGAUUAAACCGUUUCUUCUAUGAGAAGCUAGACUCAAUAAGCUUUAAUUCCAUAUUUUUUUCAUCUUCUAAUUCGAUUCCUACAAUUUUUGGUGAAUUUUCAAAGUUAACCUACUGCUGCUGUCCAAAUCUGUUUUAGUGCAUACUGUUAAUUACCAUUUUUCCCUUAACUUUCAAUAAAUGAUAAUUUCAUCCCUACUCAAUUAACCUCUCAAUUGAGUUAAUUUUUCUCAAUUAACACUUUAUCCCAUCACUUUAGACUACUUUAUAACCUCUGUAAAUCAGAAUUUUAACACUAGACUUUGAUUCCAAACUUUUUCUCAAUUAGGUCCUAUAAAACAAAUUUUUAUUGAAAUUACCUAAUAAAAUCAUCUCAUAAACAAUUUAAAGCUUCAAUUUCAUGCUAUUUCAUCAUAAACUUCCAGCACAGAAUCAUAACAACUUUCAACUUCAUCCAUAAAAUCAAAAACUAAUGAAUUUAGUAAUAGGACCUAGUUGUAAAAGUCUUAGAAACACAAAAAUUACAAGAAAAAGGCAAGAAUUAACUCACUUGGUGCAAAAAUUAUGGAAAACCAGCUAGAAGAAACCCUUAGGACAUUUUUUGGCUGAUGGGAAUGCAGAAAACUGAUGGGUUUCGGUGUUGUGCUACAGACUGUCAAGUGAGUUAACGGGUCUGAUCCUGUCUUGAACAUGAUAGGGGCAUCAUUUGGAUUUGUGUAUAGAGUUUCUUAUGUCCGAAGUAAACGAAGAGAAAACAUUUGGAGACUUUAGAGAAAUGGGACUAAGGUUGGCGCAUGAGGUCAUUUCUUUGUUAAAAGCCGUGUUUCCAUUUCAAUGUUUAAGGCAUAGAUUUAUUUGUUUCUGAAUGUUUAAUAAGAAUGGAAAAAUAUUUUAAAUGAAAGUGUACUAGUGAAGUAGAAAUACAAAUCAAUAUAAAAAAAAGGGUUAAAAAAGUUAAGUUUAACCUUUAAAACCUUCCAGCUUAUCUAAAUUUCAGAGCGAGAUUACAAAUUAUCAUCCAAAUGAUAGAAAUAAUAUAAGAAUGGCUUGUUUGCAGAAGGUACCUUGUUAACCUCGCAAUCACAACUUUCACCAAAAAAAUUGAGGGAUUAUUGGAUGGGAAAUUUCCAACUUCUUACUAAAGGCUAUGUAAUAGUCUUAUAUCUAACCAUAUUAUACAUUGUUUUAUCAAGAAGUAUGUACAUUAGUUUAUAUGACUUUUAUAAAUGGAGGGCCUAGGCUCUCAAAAUGUUAAGACUUUUCAAUAUAGCACUCUUCGGCAAGCAAAUUUGGUGCGUCUUGCACCAAAAGUAUACCUUGUGCUUUAGAGUGUUGUCAACCGAAUACUUUCCAUCAAGUGACAUUUUUCUUUGCAAAUAUAUAUAUAUAUAUAUUUUUUGUUUGGAAAGGGAUUUAUGACUACACUUGAUGGGAAGGAUCUUGUGCAUAGUGAUAUUCGUUCCCUUCAUUCCAUGGUCUCAAAUCUAUUAGUAGAGGAUAGGCCUAGAUGGAAUGAGGAUCAUAUUUGGCUAUUCUUUUAUGCGAUAAAACUCACGGUGACAUCUUGGUUUGGGAGCAUGCCUCUACAGGUGUUUAUUCAACAAGAUUUGAUUAUAAUUGGCUAUUUCUUAACUCGAUGAGGUUUAGCCCUAGGAAAGUUACAAAAAAAAUCUCUAAGAUAAAAUUAUUCGGUUGGAGGUUGAGCCAUAAAAUUCUUAUUGGCCAAUGACCUUUAGCGCAAGAGAUGUGAUUUGAUAGAGUACUUAGUGCAUGUUGUCCGUGAUUGUCCUUUUCUCAAAAAGGUAUUAAUUUUGAGUGGUAUUGAUGACAACUUAUUAAGUGCUGUUUUUUUUUUUUUUGCAGGGUGAAUUCACUAGAGUUUGCAAUGAGGAAAUUUGAUGAGGAUGCCCUUACUAGCCUUUUGGUGGGUCUUUGAUAGUUAUAGGAGGCAAGAAAGUUGGAGAGUGUGCAAGCAAAUACUACGAUUUCUCGGGAUGCUUUCAUUUGCGCUCAAGCGCUCCAUAAGGACUUCAGGUUCAUUAUUGUCUUUGUACUCCAUUGGUACCUAAGUGAUUGAAGAUCGAGAGACGGGGGGCUCCACAUGGUGAACACCUUAUGAUCAAUGUUGACACGACUUAGAUGGCUAGGGAGCAUGCAAUGUCCUAUGAUGUGGUGAUUCGUAUCAUUAUUAAACUGUUUAGUUACUAUUAACAGACUUAAUAGCAAUAGUUUGGAUUUAUCAAUUUAUAGCCCAUUGGUUUAGCCCAUUAGUCCUGUAGAGCCUUUGCAUCCAAAAAAAAUGGAAAUUCACUUAGAGAAAUUUUAAAAAAGAAAAAAAAACUCUACUAAAGACUAUCAUAUACUAAGACUCAUUCAAAGUGAUUGCAUCAUCCUUAUGCUUGAUCAUACCAGAACCCACAAGAACGGGAAUCUCUACAGCAAGCCAUGAAGCAAGUCCCAAACAAAGUGCAUGCGCGAUAACGAACUGAGUACUGCACAAUAAGAUCAUCAAAUUCAGAAAAAAAGAAACUACUGAGUAAAGAUUACAGCAUAAACAAUAUGAAUAAGUGCAAAAGGGUUAUAACACUGAUUAUCCUUCAAAAUAUGGCUCAAUCCCAGUUGAUCCGAUAACAAAGAUUAAGAAACCAGAUAUGUGAACAUCCAUUACUUGUUCAAUGCAAGCCACCUCUUAAUGAUUUAAAGGAGUAUAAUGAUGAAACAUACUGACCCUUUAAAAUAGACUACACUGGAAAAAGCAGCCUUCCAACAUCGAUGCUGCAUAAUAGAAACACAUUCAAAUCUCAUUUUUUUACGGUUCUUUGCUCUAUUUGACUUGCUCAGAAUUGCUCUCUAUAUCUUCCUUUAUAUGACUCCAGAUUAUAUUUCCUCUAAUUUUCAUUCUGACUGAACCUAGUUUUGCUGCUAAUGACAGCUUUAGGAAGACCACAGGUAAAAGCACCAUGGAAGCCCCUGUACUAGGAGUCAGAUUGCAUCUGCCCCCUCUACUAAACGAAAGGGGCAAAUUAGUCUCUAUAUGUUAGAUCAAAGAGCAAACUGAUCAUUUCUGUUAAAAAUUUCAUUCAUUUGUAUUGUUAAAACUGACUUGGCUGACAGAACAACCGGAUAGUGACAAGGGAUUUAAAUUGCGGUUGCGACCGUAUUCUCGGUCGCGUUGCGUUUAUCGCGGUUGCGGAUAUAACAGAUGCUAUUGUAGUCACUACAGGUAUCGCGGUCGUGAUUUUUUUUGAAAUUCGCACAACUCUAAUAAAAAUAUAUAACUUAAUUUUAAAUUGAUAUUUUUAGUUGUGAGAUAGUUUGAGGGACUUUUAGAAAUUGAUUGUUGGAUUGGGUACAGAGAAUGGGCAGCACACAACAGUGAAAUUUCUAGACACCAAACAAAAAUUAAAAUAGACACCAAAUUUAAUAAAAAUCAAAUAUAAAUCCACAAGCCCAAAAAAAAUUUAAAGCAAAAUCUUAUAAUAUAAAAAAAGAAAUGGAUGGUGGUAGGAAAAGAUAAAGCAUUAGGAUUAGUUAGGCCACCAGAUUCAUUUCAGCUCUGCCUUUCAACUCUCAACUCAAGUCUACCGUCAGACAACAAUAGAUGAUAAUAAUAAAAAACAUUGGAAACCCAAAACACCCCAAUUUUUUUCAAAACCCAUUCAAAUCUCAAAGCAUCCUUCAAAUUCCAAACCUUUCCAGUUUCCUGUUCUCCCUAGCAGCCUAAAUAUUUCUCAUCAGUCAUCCCCCUAACCUAAUUUGCAUAUUCAAAACUUGUUUGUUAUCUCAUCAGUCAUCCCUAACCUAAAGAAUAUAUGUUCGCAAUUUCUGGCAUUUUACAACAAAAAAGAAGCCAGAAUUCAAGACAAAAAAAUUCAAGUACUUACUUGAAAGUUGAACAUUGCUGCUGUUGUUUAUUUGGCUACAUCUUCUUUCUUUUACCAAUUAAAAAAGUCAAUAAACCCCCCAAAUUUUUUUUAUUUCACUCAUUUGAGCCAUUGGACGUUAAAAUUACAAUCAAUUAAAUCUUUUGACCGAUUAAACCUUUUGACCGUUAAAGUAAACAAUCAAGGUUACAAAGCUAAGGGUGCCAGUUUUUUCCAGGCUGUUUUUACCCCAUGGCAUACUAGGAUGGUUCCAUGUGAAAAAAAAAAAAACAAACAUUUUGUAUAUUAAAUCAUUAAAAAUGCAUUUUUAUGAUUUUCUAUGAAUUUUUAUUUUAUUUUAAUGCUUUAUAUAUAAAAUACUAUUUCCUUAAAUUUCGGGAAGGAACGGCCUAAAACCCUAAUUUCUUUUUAAAAUCGACAUAUUUGCUUAACUAAGAACAUGAAGAAAAUAUUGUAUUGUAUAAUUGAAAAAACAAAUUUCAAUUCUUGAAUAGUAUAUUAUUCAAAACUAAGGUUUUUAGGCACCAAUAAAAUUUUGCUACAUCAUAAAAUUUUAAAGACAUGAAAUUAUUAUUAUACAUCCAUCAUCCAUCCAUGUUCAACUAACUCUCCAACUCUAAUUUUUUUUAAUUAAAAAAACUUAAGUAAUUAAAAUUUUAAAAACUCAAAUAACAUAAAAACUUUAAAAUUUACACAACUCUAUCUUCAAUUUUUUUUAACACAAUUCUUGUUAUUGAAGAUUCAAUGCAAUAUAAUUUUUACUUUUAAAAAAUAUAUAAUAUGAAAUAAAAAUAAAUUAAAAUGAAAAAAAGAAAAAAAAUCCACUACCUACAAACCUUUUUUUGUUAAAUUAAUUGCAUAAAAAUUAAAAAAAUUAACUUAUGGAAAAAAUAAAAAUGAUUAAAAAUUGUAAAAGAAAAAAAUGUUUGUUUAUAAAUUAAAAUAUUAAUUAUUUUAAGUAAAUUAAAUUUAAAUUAAGUUGGGGAAGAUAAUAGAUAUAGAUGAAUGUAUAAUAAUGCUUUAUUAUCUUUAGAUUUUAUGAUGUGGCACUAUUUUAUUGGUGCCUAAGAACUAUAUGUUUUAGGAUCAUCCUAACAUAAUUUAUUCCUUUCAUUUUAUUAUCAAAUAAAUGAAUGACAAGGAAAAGGGUUUUUAUUUUUUAAUUAUUUUUUAUUUUGUGAGAUUGACAAGUCUUUAGUUUCAUGAAUAUUUAUAUGACAAAAUUAAAAAUAUAUAAAUAUUAUUAAAUAUUAGUUUAAAUUUAUUUAUUUCAAUGAAUAAAAUUCAGGAAAGAUAAUUCGCGUGAACUAUAUAAUUAACAUAAAAUUCUUCAUGAAAAACUUUUUUUUUUUUACUUUUAAUGGUCAAAAUAUGCUCUAAAUCGCAUUUUGGUAGAGUUUAAUAUUUGAUCUUAUGUUUUAAAAAUUAAAAAUUUAAUAUCUUAUUUUUUGAUUUAAAAAUCAUAAUUCAAUCAUUUAUAUUAUUAUUAUUUUCUAUCAAAUUUAUCAAUUUGUCUAUCUUUAUUUUCAAUCAAAUCAUAUAUCGUAUUAAACACACAAUAAUUAAAUCUAAUUUUUUUUCAAAUUAUAAAAACUUAAAAUAAAAACUUUAACUUAAUUUUAAAAUGAAAAUAUUUAAAUUUAACUGUAAAAUAUAUAAAUAUUAAUAUAAUUUUUUAAUAUCUUAUCAAUCAAUCCAGCUUAUAAAUUAGUUAACUAAUUAAUAAUGGGCCUUGAGCCCAACUUCCUAAUCUCAAAGGCGAGUAAAUGGGCGGAUAAGAGACCCGAACCAAGACCGAACCGGAUUGGUCGGCGAGACUCGAGAGGGGCCGUUGCUCCGAUUUUUUACUAUAAUCGACCGGUCUAAUUUGACAGAUUUUCGUCCAAAAAAAAAAAGACAGGAGAAGUGUCCUUGCUGAUAAAAGAGUAUGCUAUAUUAGCUGAUCGAUUGAUUUUGAUGUAGUUGAAGCAAAUAGAUAUAAUGUCCUUUACAUUCUUAAUUAAAACUGACAAUUGGUUUUCAUUUUGUUGAAUGGUGAAUUAUUUUUUGAACUAUUUGUUGUUUUCUCCUACUUAUUUAAUGAGUUUUAUACUACACUCUGAAAGUUUAAUGCAGUAGUGUUUUAGAGAGCAAUUCUUUGUUAAUAAGAUUAGAAGAUGUUGCAGCCCCAAGUCUUGUUUCUGAUGAAAUAUUUGGAGUAUGGAGGAUUGAUGAUACGAACAACAGUUUUGCAACACAGCCUUUUUGAAUCAAAUAUGCGAGACAGGAUGUUUAUCUAUCUAUCAUGGUUGCCUUUGAUCUACCUAUUCCUGAAAAUGAGGUAGCCAAUCUCUUUCUUGUGUAUCUCUGCAUUCCAUUGAACAGGGAAGCACACCAAAUACGUUACCAACCAGAAACCUUUCUCUGCCUUCUGAUACCUCUAAGCUAACAGAUGCUAAAAUCUCUACUCCAACCAUCCGAAAAUAGAAAUAAUAAUGGAUCUUCCUGAAAGUCGACAGGGUUUACAUUCAAUCUAAUUUUGCUACUCAGAAAGGAAAUGUAUAGAAGCUUUUCUACUUUGAUUCUGUUUGGCUAUUGUCUAGCCAUGAAAGUCAAUUUUUGUUUCUCAUUUUGGCACUGAUGUAGCAUUAUCCGACAGGGUCCUCCCUCAUCAGCUGUCAUCUUGAAGUUUGAGUUUCUAUAUGCUCCUGUAUUGGUGAAUGGGUAAGUUGAGAACUCCUAUUUACGCAUGGAUGAUUAAAAUUUAAAGUUUAUACUUAUAUUCCUUGUGCUAAUGUGUUUCAUUUCUCUCAUCAAAUUUUUUUCCAAGUUAAAACUGCCCAUUAUUGAUUGGGAUGCAUUCAAUCAGUUCUGAUUUUCGGGCUUCUCCUGAUUAUUGCCCGGCUGCCAUCCAUGAAUUCCCAAUCCCUCCUAAAGCUCUUUUAGGACUUCAUUCUUAUUGCCCUGUUUACUUUGAUGCAUUUCAUGCUGUUCUUGUGGAUGUAAGUGGUCACACGACUCUGCUAAAAGCUGGUUCUCGCAAGAUCCACACGAAGGUACCCAGGUUUGUCCCAGAUCUAGAAACAAUGGUGACUAACCUUCUCACCAACCGUAUUCCUCUCAUCUCCUCUUCCGAACCCUUUUUCAGGGUGGCGGUGGGGGUGGUUGUUUGGGGGAAAUAAGAUAAAGGGAGAGGGGUGGUUUCAUUUAUUAAAGUAAAAUUGUGCUUUGAUGAUAUGUUGAAGUAACUUAACCUGUUGAAUCAUUUCAGCAUUGCAUAUUCUACAACUAAUGAUGUUUCUGGUGAAAGCAUUGACGGAUCUACUCAGGUUUGUUCUAAACUUUUAAAAUUGAAAUGCAAUAACUACCCUUAACCAUAGCUUUCCCAUUUGUGCUUCUGCUUGAUUGUGUCAUUACAUUCAAUAGAUUUUUGGUGUCACUAUUGGGAUGUGGCAUGGAUAAAUGUUUUAUGGCUGUAAUAUAAUCUCAGAAUCUAGUGUGCAAGGUGUGUGCAUGAGAACAAAGUUUAUUACCUUAUUGUGGAUCUAGUCUAUUCAUUGGACUGGUGGAAAUUGUGGGUUAUGGUUAGUGGAAUGUAUGAAUUUCAUGAGGCUUGAUUAUUUAAGCUGUAAGAGUUUAAUAUAUCCAUUUCCAAUUCUUAAUUUAAGUGGUAUGGGUUUAAUGGAACUUUUUCUUGUGGGUUAUGUGGGUAAUAAGGGAAAUUCAUUGUAUUGCUUUAAUGCAGCUUCUUGUUAUCCUUGAUAAUCAAUAUUAAUGCACUAAUAGUUCGACUACGUAGUUGACCAGGCACUGGAUCAAGUGGCUUCUACUGAUCUGAAACAGGUCAUGCUUGUUAAGGCAUUAUUAAAUGCUCAUGACACACUGCUUGCGGAGCUGCAAAAUCUUUGUGAUGCCAUUAACCAUGCUAUUGAUUUGACUGAAUUUACCUCCAAAAUGAACAAUAUGAAGUUAUUUGAUUCCUUUUUGCAAGAACCGGUUGGUGCUGAUGCUGAAGAUUCAGCACAAGGCAAGCCACGAAAUGGUCUUGAGGUCCUUGCUUUAUGUUAUCGAACAAUGUACUCUUAUUCUUAUUUUUGUGUUUUAAUAUAUUAAAAUUAUAACACAUUUGUCUCUUAACAGAGAGUAAAUGGCAGAUUAGAGUUUCAAAGUGAUAGAUUGGUCCAUAAUUUAUCGAAGGAUGAUGUACUUAAAAUAUUUAAUCUAUCGGGUGAUCAAGUGUUUUAUUUAUGGAACACUUUCCUUAAUUUCUGCGUGUUAGCACAUAUAUGUUCACUUCCUGUUCUUGCUGUUAAACAUUUUCUCCCCUAAAUGUAGGCUUGUUAUGCUCAGUAUCCCUCUUAAUAAAACUUAAGUCUCCUUCCAGGAAUAGUAAAACACGGAUAUUGGACUUCCUUCAUGAUGAAUGGGCUAAAGAUCGAAGAGCUGAAUGGUCAAUAUGGACGGUGUACUCCAAAGUUGACAUGCCUCGUCGUUACAUAAAUGGCAGUUUUGAUGAGUCUUCCCACCAAAUCGUGCAUAAGAGGUGUUCAAGUUUGUGGAAAUUAACAGAUGAUGUAAUUACUCAUUUAUGUUUUUAUUUCUUGGCUGACAUAAUCGGUUAUGAACAACAAUAAUAUUUUUCAAUUCCAAAUUCAUCUUAUGGAAUGCAGCCUGCACAGAUGGCAGCUAUGCGGGCUGAGCUUCAUCGGCGAAGUAUUGUACAAAUGAGUGUAGGUCCUUAUAUUUAAUGCUUAUUGUUUUUAUUUACACAUGCCUUAGUUUACCGGUAAUGAUUGUUUGCACACAGAUGAACAACCGAAUCAAUCCAAGACAUGCAAAUAUUAGGAGAUCCUUCAAGAAUUCCUAUUAUAAGUAUGGAGCAUGUAAUGAAUGCACCUCAACGUACUUGUAGUGAUAACUUGUACAUGAGGAACUUGGACAUAAUAGAUUCAAUUAGCACAAGCACUGUUCCUAGUUCUGAAGCUGUAAAAAAGCUAUCAAGCGCAAGUGCUGCGCAAAUCGGUUUAAAGUUUUAUAAAAUUUUCUAGGGAUGAUAUAUAUAUUGGAUGCUGUGGAUUUAUUCACUUUAUGAGUUGUUGAAUAUGGAUUCAUAAAUCUUGUGGUAUCGAUAUAGGAUUAUUCUCAAUAUGUAUAAAUUUCAUAUUUGAAAUGGAUUGAUAUGACUAAAGUUUAUACGAUCUUACUAAGCAUCCAUUGCUUAUAUAGUUGUCUUUCUUUUAUUUUUCAGAUUAUCUGAAUCUUCAUUGGGUUGGAAGCUUAUCGGAGAUCUAUCACACUAUCCAGCAGUUAUAUUGAUAAUGCUCUGUAACCUUAUUCCGGCAACAGAUACGGGUUAGGGGUGUUACGAUAUAAAUGAUUAUUUACAUCAUAUUUAUUUACAUAGUAAUAAUUAUUAUUUUGCUUUGGAGUCAUUAUUAUUUUGGACUUAUAACGUUAUUAAUUUUCCUUAAAAAACGAUUUAUUACCGAAUUUAAUGCCUCAAUUUUCUUUAUUGGACUUCCCUAGUUUUCUUUUUCAAUCUUUUUUUUUGUGUGAGAUUGACAAGCUUGUAGUUCAUUGGCUAAAUAAGGACUUUAGGUCGUUUUUAUUUUUUUAUUAGACUUUUAGGCUGAUUUUAAUUUUAAUUGGGGAAAUAUGUCGAUUUUAGGAGAGAGAGAGAAUGUGAAUGUGCACCCAGUUGGAUGCACUUUCCCUCAACGAUAACUUUAACGACUUUUUGAUCAUUGUGGCGCCAAGUGGUAAAAUUUUUUUUAAAGAAAGUUUACGACGCUAUAUUUUAAUACGCUUCGCACCAUACAAAAAUUGUAUUCUUCUUUUCUUUCAUCAUCACCUUCUUGCCUCUAAAUUUCAUCAACAAUAUUGAGUCUUGUUGGAUCAUCUUCCACUGUCUUUGUUUUGAUAAAUCCUUUCUUUUGGUAUGAUUUGAAACCCUAAAAUUUUUUAAACAAUAACAUUCUUUUAUCGAUAGAACAAAAAAAAAACUCUAAGACGUGCUUAGGCUAAUUUAAAGAUUUGAUAUUUUAAAAUUAUAGAGAAAUUUUAUUGUAUUUAUACCGACUUCAAAUCAGAGUAGGUGAACUUAUAUUUAGUAUAAAUUUAAAAAUGAAAGUAAAAAAUAAGAAAAAAAAUAAACUUAUAUAUUUAUCAUUUAAUUUAUAAUCAUUCAAGUAAAAAUUUUUAAAAUUUAUUUAUGCAAAAUAUUCGAUAUGAGUUUAGGUGUGAAUUUUAAUAUUAGAAAAUGACCUAAGUUUGAACCAAAUUGAGCCCCCAAGCUUAUAUGGUUACGGCUUAAAAAUAGAACCCAAUAGUCAACUCAAACUUAGAAUCUUCUAGAGAAGCUAAACCAUGCUAAGGUCGGGCCAUCAAAUCGGAUUGCAAGAAACGUGGAGCCCAUGAAAACCGCAAAACUUAUUGACCCAAGCAAGAACACUCCUAUCUAGAGCGAAAGGCCAUGCCUAUCAUCCCAUUAGCCAGAAACUAAACCCUAAAACUGAAAACAAAGCGGUGAACCAUGAGCGGCAAUACUCGUAAUUGCUCGAGUUACUUUGAUGCGCGACAACGAGAUGGAGAGAUCAAGGGCUUGUUUUUCCUCGAUAAGACACAGCGGGAUACCGAAGGUAAACGCAGGACUGAUUUGCACUUUUUGGAUCUGGAAAGAGGUGAAAUCUCUGACGUUUUGAGUACGACGCCACCUGAUGUCCCUCUUGGUUCCACUGUGGUUACCUGUGGCAACCAGGUUUACACCAUUGGGGGGAAGAUCCUUCGGGGUGGUAUCCUUCGUUCAUUAAACCAUGUUUUCCGCUUUGAUUUUAAGCACGCUGAACGUGGGUGGAGAAAAGUUAGUUCUAUGCUGUACCCUCGGGGUCUUCCCGAGGCUCUUGCUGCACAAGGAAAGAUUUACGUCUUCAAGGGAUCUCGUGAUUGUUUUGGCGAGGUUUACGAUAUAAGUGGGGAUAGUUGGGUUCCAUUGUGCGUCCCUUCUAUUGCGGAAUAUUCAGGAGUAAGUCGCCCUGUUCUCCUAGAUUCUUCCCGAUCUCGGAUUUUGGUGCACUUCUCUGGCGAUAGAUAUAGAUCUCUUUACGCCUAUUACUAUAAUGAUAAAUCAUGGGUUUGCCUCGAUCCAAAAUUUCCUUACUGGUCUCUCACAGUCGGAAUCGUGGGCAAUGUGCUGUAUGUUUUCCAUGAGAUUUCUGACGAGAUCUGUUCUUGGAAGGCGUAUGAUGUGCAGGAUAAGAAAUGGUUGCCCGUCAAGUGGUUAACGGAAUUUUCAUUACAUCAACCAUUCACUGCCCCUGUGGGUGCCCCUCUGAUUCAUUUGGGCAAUGACAAGUGGUGUAUGGUUUGGCACAGCGUUACGCUUAAUUGUUUUGAGUACCUUAUAUUCAGAAUGUGGCGCAACGGGCAUGGAGGGAUUUAUGCAGCUGCAGUGGAUGGAUAUAGAACCUCUGCUUCAUUUGGAUCCGUUAAUCCUACAAUAUUGAUGCCGUAAAUGAACAUCAUAAUUAUUUCUAUCCUUGGAAAGUGACUGAUUAUGCAUUUUCCAAUGCUGCUUGUCAUUGUAUUUGGUUUGCACUAAAUGAAGGUUAGUGCUAUCAUAAUUAUUCCUAUCCUUGUAAAUUGACUUAUUUUUCAUUUGCGCGUACUGCUUUUCAUUGCGUUUUGUUUGCUCUUGUUGUCACUAAGAAGCUGAUAAUGAGCCUUGAACUUCCUGUAUAAAACUUGAGUAAUGCUAAGGUACAAAGAAGUCUUGAGUGGUUGUGUGAAAAUGUCUUCCUUUUUCCAAGAUGAAUGAGUGGACUCAGUUUUGUUAGGACUAUAUGUCUUGCUCUUGUUGUUGUUUUAAAUGGGUACGAGGCUACUAGCACCUUUAGGGAACUAGAACUGAAGUUCGAUAGCUUUGGGCAGAGAAUUUUAACCAAAGGCUUGCUAUACCCCAAAUAGUUGCUUCUAUUUUGAUGAUAUAUUGUUGCCCUAAAUGAAUGUUAGAGCCCCCUUCACAUGGUAAUUAUUUCUAUCAUUGAACUUCCUGUAUAAAACUUGAGUAAUGCUAAGGUACAAAGAAGUCGGGUCGUUGUGUGAAAAUGUCUUCCUUUUUCCAAGAUGAAUGAGUGGACUAAGUUUUGUUAGGACUAUGUGUCGAGCUCUUCUUGUUGUUUUGAAUGGGUACGAGGCUCCUAGCACCUUUAGGGAACUAGAACUCAAGAUCCGUUAGCUUUGGGUUCUAUUUUGAUGAUAUAUUGUUGCCCUAAAUGAAUGUUAGAGCCCCCGUUCACAUCAUAAUUAUUUCUAUCCUUGGAAAGUGACUGUUUAAGCAUUUGCCAAUGCUGCUUGUCAUUAUAUUUGGUUUGCUCUGAAUGAAGGUUGGUGCCCUCAUAAUUAAUCCUAUCCUUGUAAAUUGACUGAUUUUUCAUUUGCCAGUACUGCUUGUCAUUGCAUUUUGUUUGCUCUUGUUGUCAGUUGUCACUAAGAAGCUGAUAAUGAGCAUUGAACUUUUGGGUAAUUCUAAGGUACAAAGAAGUCAGAAUCAGGCGUAUUAUUUGCGUUGUGUGAAAAUGUGUUCCUUUUUCCAAGAUGAAUGAGUGGACUUAGUUUUGUUAGGACUAUGUGGCGUGCUCUGCUUCUUGUUUUGAAUUGGUACGAGGCUUCUAGCACCUUUAGGGAACAAGAACUCAAGUUCCGUUAGCUUUGGGCCGAGAAUUUUAAGCAAAGGCUUGCUAAAUACCCCAAAUAGAUGCUUCUAUUUUUAUAAUAUUUUGUUGCCCUAAGUAAAGGUUAGAGCCCCCUUCACAUCAUAAUUAUUUCUAUCCUUGGAAAGUGACUGAUUAUGCAUUUGUCAAUGCUGCUUGUCAUUAUAUUUGUUUUGUUCUAAAUGAAUUUAUUUUUUCCUCUCUUUUUUUAAGCUUCAGCCGGAACUCAUUGGGGGUAUAGAGUUGAGUUAUGACCUAUGUUGAUGGUGAAGGAAAAACUUUGAAGACACUGUCAAUUAUCUUGUUUGAGACUUUGAACUUGUUUAUGGAAUUGGAUAUUGGUUUGUGGUGAUUUAUUUAUCGUUUGUACUAUAUCUUAUGUCUUUGUUCUAUUGUUGUCCAUGAUUACUAUUAAUAAUAAUAUUUUCUUAAAAAAAAGUCACCCCAUAUGGAUGUAUGUUCCCGAUCAUGCUCUUGCAUUGACAAUAAUACUCAAUCGACUUACAUCCAUUAAUUAAUUGAAUUGAUUUUAGUUUCUAAAUAUUUAUAUUUUUUUAAUUCUUUAAACACUUUUUUUUUCUUAAUAAUAAAAAGUUAUAAAUAAUAGUAAUAAAUUUUUAAUCGAGGAAAUAUUCAAAUUUACAUCAAUCUUUGUAAAUUAUUUCAUGUAAAUCAAGAUAAUAUUGUAUAAAGAAGCCAAUAUUCUGAUUGUAUAAGCCUGAAUUUGCUUGCGGCCCAAAACCCAAACUACCGAAUUACAGACCCAAAUUAGAUGGCCCAAUGAAGAUUCAAUUUCUAACCCACCUAAAUCUAACCCUAACAGCUCACUCAACCCAAGCCCAAAACAUCAAACCCUAGCCUCCUGCCAUCGCCGUGCCACCAACUCUGCCACUGUACGGCCUCCCUUUGCCCACUUGCUCUACCUGCAAAAUGAAAUGAAAUACGCAACAAAAAGGAAGAAAAUAGCAAAAUAGAAAUAGGGAAUCGGCUAUAAAAGCCGAUUUUGAUUUGUAUUUUCAGGCCCUCGAUUUUUGUAAAAAAAAAAAAGAAAAAACUUUAAGAGAAAGAAAUACAAAGCAGAAAACAGAUCAAAGGUUUUCUUUUUCCUCUAUUAUUCUGUUUAUAAGAUUUUUUUUCCUUUUUAUUUUAUCUACUCUUUUUUUUAGAAUAUUAGCAAUAAAAAGUAAAUAAAAAGGAACUUACCGGAUAUGCAUCGUUCUCGCACCAUCGGAGGGUCCUUCUCCGUUGUCGGAGCCGAAUCCAAAGAUCGUCAAGAACCUCCUCCUUCCGGUUCUUCGGGGUUGAGAGGGUUGGACUUUCAAAGAUCUUGCGAGCCAUAGGCUAAAAAUACCCUUUUGCGCAUCGCCAACCACCGCCUACGGUGGAGACAAGGCGGCGCAAGGUCGGAGCCCUAGGCCGGAUUUCAGACGGCUGCAGAGGAGAGAAAUGCUCUCUUUUCUUUUUUGUGGUGGUUGUUUAAAAAUGUUUUUUUUUGUUUUUUUUUUAGCCUUUAAAAACAAUAGGAAACGACGCCGUUUUAGGAGGGUUAGGGGAGCCUCAAAACGACGUCGUUUAAGGCUCUCUGACCUGCGACCCGACUCGUCCACCCUCAGGAUCCACGUGUUUCUGCGAUAAAGGGGAUAUUUUUGCGCUGGGUCCUUCCACUUUCGCGCUGUUGUGCAAUGUGGUCCCUUUUAUUCUCUUAAAUUUGGCCGCAUAUUUUUCGGGCGUUUCAUUCCAGUCCUGCACAAAAUGAUGCGUAUAAGGAAUGGGGAUAUUGCGCGAUGAGUCCCUUCUUCUUGAUGAACGUUUCACUUUAGUCCUUUAUUAUCUUUUUAUGUCAUUUUAAAAUAUGUCCCCUAAUUUUUUUUAUUUUGUUCUUUUACUAUCAUUAUUAUUAUUAUUAUUAUUAUUAUUAUUAUUAUUAUUACUACUUAUUCAUUUAUACCAUCUAAUGUUAGAUUUAAUCAUAUAUAUAAAUAUACAUCCUUGAUAUAUACCUACUUUUUUAUAUAUACUUUAUAAUUUAUAUAUACAUAUACACAUUUUAAUUUAUGUACAUAUAUACACAUAUUUUCAUACUUUACUUAUAUAUAUACAUGUACUUAUACAUAUUCUUUAUAUCUUAAAAUCCAUAUUUUUCUUAUGUAUAUAUUUUAUAUUAUAUAUAUAUUUUUAUAUAUUCUACAAUAUAUAUUUAUAUACAUAAUAAAUACAUAUCUAUAUACGUUCUUGAUUUUUAUAAACACACAUAUAUAUAUAUGUAUGCAUACCUUUAUAUUUCUUAUAUUUCAUAACCUUAAAUACAUAUAUAUAUAUUUUUACAUAUCCUUUAUACUCCUAAAAUAUAUAUUUUGUAUAUAUUCUUUAUAUUUUAUGAUUCCUAUAUAUAUCCAUAUAUAUACUUUUUAUAUUUUAUGAUUGUUAUUUAUGUAUAUAUGUACGUACAUAUACUUACACAUAUUUUCAUGUAUAAUAGCUUUAGAAUAUGUGUACAUACGUAUGUUUUUCAUAUUUCCAUAAUUUUAUACAUAUAUAUAUCUUUUAUAUUUUUUAUAAUUUUGUUUAUUUUGUUUAUUUAUUUAUUUAUUUACAUUGUCCGUUAUUAUUAUUAUUUUGCUUUAGUUUUUAUCUGUUGUUAUUUGUUAUUGUGCCUACGUGAUUGUUUUUUAUAUAUUGGUCUUAUCAUUUACUUAUCUUUUGUUUUUGCUCGUGUUAUUUUACUUACAUUAGCAUCAUUGUUAUUCCAUUACACCUGUUUUUACUCAAAUUCGUCAAAAGAGAAAAUUUUGAAAACAAAAGCAAUAUUCGGAAUUUGGGAUUUUCGAGAGGAUUGAGCCCUAACGUAUUGGGUUCUAAUUUUCUUCGUUGAAUCUAAAUGAUCGAGAAUGCUCUUUAAUAAAAAAACAUAAAUAAAAAGCUUAUUAUCGGGAAUUCAAUACGUUGUGUCCUAAUGCAUUGGAUAUGACAUGUUUUCUCGAGGCGAGGAUUUUUCAAAAAAAUAAUAAAUGCAAUAUUUCGUAUUUAGAAAUUCGAGAAGUCGUGCCCUAACUUACUGGGUUUCGAUUUUUCUCGCGUUAAACCUAAGUAACCGAAUAUCCUUUUAAAAUUGAAAUAAAUGAGGUUUAAAUAAAAAAUAAAAGGCAAGCUUACUCUCAAAAAUAUGAGGUGUCAUAUUCUAACUUAUUGGAUGUGAUAUCUUGUUACUUCGAGAUAAGAAGGCAUUUUCUAUUUUGAUUUAUUCGAGUAAUUUUAUAAUAACACAAUAUACAGAAGGAUCGUAUUUUUAAAUUCUUUUCGAGUUUUUAAUUUUCGACACCAAGACAUUAAGUAAUCAACUAGGUACCAAUUUUGGGCAUUACGAGGGCGCUAAUCUUUCCUCUUACGUAACUGACUCUCGAACCCCCUUUUUUUUAAGUUUCGUAGACCAAAAUCGUUGUUUUGAUAAAAUCAAAUCGAUUAUUAAAAACAAUCAUUUUCUAAAGGUGACCCGAUCACACCUUAUCAAAAAGGAUUGGUGGCGACUCCCAUUUUCGUUUUCAUUUUCAAAAUCCAAGUCAACCCCGUUUUAUCAAAAAAAAUGGUGUCAACAGCUUGGCGACUCCGUUGGGGACGGUGAAAAGAGAGUCAAGCCACGUGUUAAUUACUUUUUGUCUUUUUGUCGAAAAAAUAAACUUAGUUUAAAUGUACGAUCGUUUCAUUGCAUUUCAUUUGUCUUUAUUUCGGUUUUUGUCAUUGUGAUUUGAUUGUUGUGGUAGUUUAAGCUUGAUAUACUGUUGGUAGCCGUCGUUAUGACCACCAAAUUUAAUUCCUCUACUCAACCAAUAUUAACUGGUAAUAUAGAGUAAGUACAGGAUCGUCCCACGAAGAAGCUUACAACAAAUCUAUUUGAAGUGAUUUAAAAUUAAAGUAACGUAAAAGCAUGCAAAAUAAAAAGGAAAAGUGGGGGGGUUUAUGUGUUACAAUCGAUAAAAAUAAUCUCAAAUAACAAAUAAGCUUUGGCUCGAAUUAAAACUGCUGAGAAGAAAAUAUCAAGAGAAGAAUAACGUUUAGUUAUUAACGCCUUAAUCCACCCAGCACAAGUUCUUUGAAACCUGAAGUUAAGAAAUCAAAUUAGCAGUAAGGCUGAAAAAAGAUCGCUUACGAAGCAAUUUCUUAUCCCUAGUAAAUUAUUCAAUUAGAGAACGUUCAUGAUUGAAACCUUCCUUUAAUUAUCUCUGUGCGUUCAUGAUUGAAACCUUCCUUUAAUUAUCUCUGUGUCGACUUUGUUAAAGGAAUUUAAAAGAUUUAGAGGCUUCGCCUUGCCUUAACCAAAGAAAAUCCACCAGCGGUUUCUAAGAUUAAAUCCGUAGUUGUCGGCAAAUUAAUUAUCACUAAUUCUAAGCUUAAUUGAGAAAUUCGAUUCCUCAAUUUGCACUUAAAUGGUGAUAGGGAAAAUUCCCAAUUUAAUUAGGUGAUCACUCCAAUUGAAUUAGAAAAAUUCCUUGAAAGAUAAAAUCAAACAACUCAAGAAUGCCGAAUUCAAAUUUAGAACAAAGUAAACCUUCAAAUCACUUGUGCUCGGUUUCAUAAGAGUCAAUUCAAAUUUAGAACAAAGUAAACCUUCAAAUCACUUGUGCUCGGUUUCAUAAGAGUUUAACUAAGCUUAAAUAGAUUAGCUGCUCAUAGCAAGUAAAGUUAAACAAGAAUCAAUUUGUAAACACAUGAAUUACAAACUAAAUUUUGGAAAGGAAAAUUCCUCAAGUUGUCGAGCUUCCCCUUCUCUCAAAUAGCUGAAAUUUCGGGCUGCUUCUUCAACUCCUUGGUCGUCCUUUGCUGGUUCAAUCUCAGGAAUUUUGCUUGCUCGAGUCACGCAUUUUUGCUCUGUUCAUUCUCUGAUUUUUUUCUUCACCUCCUCUUUUUUUCAGCUGCUAUCAUCUCUAUUUAUGGGAUAAUAACCUCCAAUCAAUUCAAAAAUUAAAAUCAAUCUUAUCCCCCCUUUUUCUUAGCCUUACCCGUCGCAUGAAAAUAGCUUCAGCUUAGUAGAGUUUUAAUUCAACUCUUCAAUGCUGAUUUGGCUUCCAAUUGUUUAAACUAGAGUCGGCCACCGCUUGGCAUGAAGGAAAUAAUAAUUCCCUUCUUAAUUUUGUCGCAUGUUUGGCUUCCAAUUGGACCGACUGCUCCUCCAUUGUUUGUUUAAUUCAUUCGGCCUGCUGUCUUUUUAUUGGACCGAAUUUUUGCUACCAAUUAAAAUUCAAUUCCUUCAGCCAGCAUAUGAUCAACAUUCAGCAGCUUAAUCAUUCCAAUUUGAGCUCAUACGGAAAUCCAAAUGUCAUUCACCUGCACAUGACUUAAAAUUUUAACAUUAAAUAAUUGAAUUGGAGCUAAAAAAACAUUAUUACGGCAUGGGAUGUUCUUGCUGUAAUUUAAACUAAUUCGACAUUCAAUUUCUCAAAAUUUAAUCAAUAAUUUAAAUAAUUUAGUUGAAUAAGUUAAGCUCAGAAUUGAACUUAACAAACUCCCCCAUACUUAAGCCAUUGAUCGUCCCUGAGUAAUCAAGUUUAAAAGAAUCAAGAAGAAUUUCAGAAAUAUCAAGACUAAUAAAGAGUUGUUGCAUCGCUCAUGCUUGGGAUGAAUUCCGAAAUCAACAGUUAAGAUUUUGGUUUAUUCAAGAGAGGAAAAUAUAAAGGAAACUAAUCACGCGUCUUUGAUCAAUUCUCACCUGAAAAGAAUAGAAUUGUUAACACUCUUCACUCGUCAUUGUGUUUAGGCUAGUAUAAUGCUCUCAAAUUGAAAUCGACCGUAAUUAACCCCAUAGGCUUGCUUGUCCAUCUUACCUUAACAUAAAACAUAAAAUUUCAUAAAUAUAAUCGAGACUAAAUUAUGGUUGUAAUGGGGCUGAGGUAAUGUGCAGUGGACGGGAGGAAUUUAUUUGGAUGGUGGAGCUAAUUUUCUUAGACUAGUUAAUCGUCCGGAAGUCAUCAAUUCUCUUAUUCUCUCUUCUUCUUCUUUUUUCUUUGUUUUCAAUAAUUCAAGAAGAUAACUAAAUCAAUCAGCCUUUCAUUGUUUCCAUGUCCUUUGGUUCAACCGAUCCAUUCCCUUAUGAUCACAUAACGCUACAUUUAUUAAAUUUACUCGGAAGGCUGUAACUUGCUGCUUCUUUCUCACAAAAAUCAGCCUUUAAUUACCAACUAAACAUCACCCAAAAUUGGCCAGCAUAUGUCGGAAUCAGGAUGAACUUCCAGACUAAAUUAACUAGCCUAAAAAGGUGAGUUGAUUCGGCUUUGGCUUAAUUUCUGGAGGUACAUAAAAAAUGGGAAAUUAAGGCUUCAAAUUGGCUAAAUAAUUGGAAUAAUGUCAAGGUUGGUUUUUUUUUUUUUAUAAGUACUUGUGGGUUAAUUCCUAUGGCCUCUUGAAUCAUAUUUAAUGGAAAUCAAAUGUAUUACUAUCUUUAAUAAGAUCUAAAGCAAGUUCUAGAGUAAUUGAUAGCUGAUAACAAUAAUCACACAUGAAUGAAUAAUAACCUCUCAAGUUGGCAUGGAUGUCCCAACUUUCGCUCUAGGCUCAAAUUCCUCACAAGGACCACAUAAUUGAUCAAUUGAGCAGAUUAAUUUUAAUUUUUUUUAAAUCAAGAUACUAACCAAAAUCAAUUAAUUGAAAACAAAAUUUAACCCAACCAAUCGACAUACAACCACCCCAAUCAGCUUGAAUUCAUGAAAUACAUCUUCAUUCUUUUAUUUAAAUAUUUUCCUAAAGGAAAUUCGACAAGACUUAUUCAUGAAAGUUGCAAGCAUCAAAUAUGUUAGAAAAUCAAUGAAUUGAUUCUCCCCCAUACUUAAUGUUUGCAUUGUCCCUAAUGCAAAAGAAAAAAUUUGAAAAUUAAAAUUAACUUAAUGGAAAGAAACAAUAAUGGUAAAGAAAACUCCCCUGAAUAUGUGGUUGCCUCCCACAAGCGCCUUUGUUUUAAGUCGGUGGCUCGACAUCACACUUCUCAUGGAUCCUUAAGAUUGAUCUCCUCCAACCAAGUUGCUUGCUCUCCUUCAUGAAAAUGUUUCAACCUUUGACCAUUCACUUUGAAAAUUUUAUUAGUUUCGAGGCUCCUAAUUUCGAUUGCCCCAUGAUGAUGCACCUCGGUUAUUAUAAAUGGACCAAGCCACCUUGAUUUUAACUUACCAGGAAACAAUUUAAGCUUAGAGUUAAAGAGUAGUACCUUUUCCCCCACCUUAAAUUCUUUGCGAAUCAACUUUGAGUCGCGAAAUGCCUUUGACUUACCUUUGUAGAUGACCGAAUUGUCAUAUGCUUCUAGGCGCAACUCCUCUAAUUCUUGCAGCUUCAACUUGCGCUUUUCACCUGCCAAACUAUAAUCCAAAUUGCACUGCUUAACAGCCCAGAAUGAUUUAUGCUCAAGCUCAACGGGAAGAUGACAUGCCUUCCCAAAAACAACCCUGUAAGGUGACAUCCCAAUUGGCGUUUUGUAAGCCGUUUGAACAGCCCAUAAUGCCUCAUCUAACCUUUGACUCCAAUCCUUCCUAUUGGGCUUAACAAUUUUCUCUAAAAUUCCCUUGAUCUCUUUGUUACUACUCUCAGCUUGCCCAUUGGUUUGAGGGUGAUAAGCUGUCGACACUCUGUGGGUGACGCCAAAUUGUGCAAAUAAAGCUUUCAAGGUUCUAUUACAAAAAUGUGUUCCCUUGUCACUAAUUAUAGCCCUUGGAACCCCAUAUCUAUUUAAAAUGUUGGUCUUAAGACAUUUCACCACAGUUUUAGCAUCAUCGGCCCUAGUUGGGAAUGCUUCUACCCAUUUCGACAAGUAAUCAACACAAACAAGAAUGUAUAGAUAACCGAAAGAAGAAGGAAAAGGCCCCAUAAAAUCAAUACCCCAUACAUCAAAUAUAUCACAAACAUAAAAAUUAUGUAAUGGCAUUUGAUUUCGGCUACUUAAAUUACCGGUUUUUUGACAUGAUGCACAUGUUUUACAAAAUGCAUAUGAAUCUUUAUGAAUAGUCGGCCAAAAAAAACCACACUCAAGUAUUUUAUGAGCUGUUCGCUUAGGCCCAAAAUGUCCCCCACCUUCUCGAGAAUGACAAAAAUUAAGCACCGACUCUAUCUCACUAUCAUCGACACAACGCCUAAUUAUUUGGUCACUACAAAAUCGCCAAAGAUAUGGUUCUUCCCAUAAGUAAAAUCGGGCUUGACUUCUAAUUUUUUCUCUUAAAUGUCUAGGUGCAUUCGUAGGGAACUCUUAAGUCACUAAGUAGUUUACUAUGUCGGCAUACCAUGGCAAAACACUAGACAAACUAUAAAGUCGCUCAUCGGGAAAUAAAUCACUCGGCUCAUCCCUCAAAAUUCCAGUCUCUAUCCUACUCAAAUGAUCGGCCACAAGAUUCUCCUUACCUUUCUUAUCUUUAAUUUCCAAGUCAAAUUCCUGAAAAAGCAAAAUCCAUCUUAUUAACCGGGGCUUAGCUUCUUUUUUAUGCAACAAAUAUUUAAGAGCACCAUGGUCAGAAAAUACAACAACUUUGACUCCUAGCAAGUAUGCUCUAAAUUUUUCUAAGGCAAAAACAAUGGCAUAGAGCUUUUUCUCGGUCGUGGUAUAAUUGCAUUGAGCUGGGUUCAAUAGCUCGCUAGCAUACCUGAUAAUAUAAGACUCCUUACCAUUUCUUUGUCCCAAAGCCGCACCAACAGCCUUAUCACUGGCAUCACAUAAAAUUUCAAAAGGUAAUGCAUAAUUCGGCCCUUGUAUGAUAGGGGCUAUGAUCAAUUUCAAUUUCAAUUCAUCAAAAGAUUUUUUGCAAUUCUCACUAAAUUCAAAUACGAUAUCUUUACCGAGAAAUGCACAUAAAGGUGACGAUAUCUGUGAAAAAUUCUUGAUGAACCGACGGUAAAAACCUACAUGACCCAAGAAGGAUCGAAUUCCUCUCACAGUACCUGGAUAAGGUAGAUUUUUAAUUACCUCGACUUUGGCUUGGUCGACUUCUAAACCUUUAGUUGAGACGAUAUGCCCCAAUACUACGCCCUUUUCAACCAUGAGAUGACAUUUCUCAAAAUUUAAUAUCAGGUUAGUCUCAAUGCAACGCCUAAGAACUAACACAAGAUGAUGCAAACAUUGAUCAAAUGAAUCACCAUAAAUCGUAAAAUCAUCCAUGAACACCUCCAUUAAAUGUGAAAUAAAAUCUGAAAAUAUGCUCGUUAUACCUCUUUGAAAAGUAGCUGGUGCGUUGCACAAUCCGAAAGGCAUUCUCUUGAAGGCGUACGUUCCAAACGGGUAAGUGAAGGUGGUCUUCUCUUGAUCCUCAGGUGCAAUAGGUACCUACAAAUAACCUGAAUAGCCAUCUAAAAAACAAAAAUGUGAGCGACCAGCUAACAUUUCUAACAUUUGAUCCAUGAAUGGAAGGGGGUAGUGGUCUUUUUUAGUGGCUUUAUUCUGUUUCCGAUAGUCUCUACAAACCCGCCAACCAUUCUGCACUCUCGUGGGAAUCUCUAAACCUUCCUCGUUGGUAACUAUUGUAGUUCCUCCCUUCUUAGGUACAACAUGAAUUGGACUUACCCACUUUGAAUCGGCUAUGGGAUAAAUGACAUCGGCUUCCAACCAUUUCAAAAUUUCAGUCUUAACUACCUCCAUCAUUGGUGGAUUCAAUCGGCGUUGAGGGUCUCUUUUGGGGACUGAAUCUGGUUCCAAAGCUAUCUUGUGGGUACACAAAGUCGUACUAAGUCCCUUAAUGUCAGCUAGUGUCCAAUCGAAGGCUUCCUUAUGCUCCCUAAGAACUCUAAGCAGCUUAGAUUCUUGUAUCUCGGUUAAGGCAUUCGACACUAUCAAUGGUAGAGUUUGAUUUUCUCCCAAAUAAAUGUACUUCAAAUUUUCGGGCAGCUCUUUUAACUCUAAUUUAGGUGGCACAAUUAGUGAAGGAACCUGCUUACCAGUCACCAUAAGAUUAGGGAGAAUCGGCUUGAAUCGUGUCAAUUUGGGCGAGUCUAAAGCACAAACUGAGUCAAUUAAAGAAUCAGAAAUGAUAAAUUCUUGCUUGUCGACAUCAAAAAUGCUCUUAGCGAGAACGCUUUUCAACUCGUCUUCUCAUUUAAUAGGAAGUUUCUUUUGAAAUACCGCAGAGACAUUUUCGCCUAGACUAAUCUUCUCAUUUCCAAUUAAUUUCCUUUUAGAUGUGCACAAUUCUUUUAAAAAAUUAGCAUAUCUAGGCACCUGUUUAAUUGCAUCAAUCAAUGGAAUAUUAACUUGUACCUUACGGAAAGUCUCAAGAAUUUCGGUAUUGACGUCGUCUGAUUUUUCCUUCCUCAAACGCUGUGGAAAUGGCGCCUUCGGUACAUAACAUCGAGGUUGGUUAUUAUCGUUCUGACUUGCUUGUGCUCGAAGCUCAGGAACCCUCGUUUCCUGCUCAAAAUUUGCUACAUCAUGCAAAACAUUGGACUGUUGUAAACGUGAUUUCCCUACUUCCUUUGGAGCUGCUUGCGACGGUUGUAAAUCCACCUUUGGCAAGGCUAAAUUUCCCUCUUCAAUACCGGACCUUUCUUACCUCAGUUUCAUCUUCCUCAUUACUGUUUUGGCCCUUCUCUAGUAUCGAUCUCAACUCCUUCCCACUUCGCAAGGUUAUAGCACUGACAUUAUCCCUUGGAUUUGCCACAGGCUGUGAUGGUAACCGAUUAUUUACCUGUGCUUGCAAGUUCCCAAGAUUAACGUCGGUCGACGAGGCUCUGGUUUGCAACUGCUUCACUGCCGAUUCCAAAGACUGAAAUCUUCCAUCGGUUUCCUUCUUCUGGUCAGCCAUUAUUUUCAUCAUUUGUUCAAGCAUGGUAUGGGUCUUAGUUUCAGCACUAAAAUUUUGAUGGCUGGGUUGUUGCUGUGACGAAUUAUAUUGUCGAGAAUUUUGCUGCUCGAAUCUCAGAGGUGUGGCUCGAUUUUGAUAUCUGAGAUUGGGGUGGUCUCUCCAUCCCUCAUUAUAGGUAGCUGAACAUGGAUCAUACCUUCUCUGAUUUGGAAAGACGGCGUUUGCUUCCCCUUCCUGUAAUGUUGGACACAUAUCUGUGGUAUGUCCUUCCAAACAACAAAUGCCACAUAGUGAAACUUUCGCAUUACCUCCAGUCAUCAAUUUACUUACCAUAGCCGUUAAGUUAGCUAACUGAGCCUCCAUCAUACUCGACUGGACCUCAUCCAUUCGUUUACCCAAGUCGGAUCUCCUGAGACCAAAUUGCUGUGUAUUUUGCGCCAUAUUAGCAAUCAAAUUUCGGGCUUGUUCAGGAGUUUUAUCAACCAAUGCACCUCCACUCGCUGCAUCGAUCAUUCCUCGAUCUUGUGGUGUCAAUCCUUCAUAAAAGUAUUGCACUAAGAGCUGCUCACUAAUCUGAUGCUGUGGACAACUCGUACAUAGUCGUUUAAACCUUUCCCAGUAUUCAUAUAAUGACUCACCUACCAGUUGCUUAAUUCCACAAAUUUCCUUCCUGAUUGACCCUAUUCUUGAUGCCGGAAAAUACUUCUCAAGGAAAGCCUUAUGUAACCCUGUCCAAGUUGUGAAUGAACCUGGUGGCAUGUAAUAUAACCAGUCCUUUGCCAACCCUUGUAACGAGAAAGGGAAAGCUCGGAGCUUGAUUUGUUCCUCUUCAAUGCCAUCUGGCUGCAUAGUUGAACAAGUAAUUAAAAAUUCAUUAAUAUGAUGGUAAGGGUCCUCACCUGGUAACCCAUUGAAUUUUGGCAACAAGUUUAGGAAUCCCGAAUUAAGCUUUAAUGGCCUAUCAAGGGCAGGAUAUGUGAUAGAUGGUGGUUGCGCGGCCAAGUUAGGAGCGGCCAAUUGCUUCAAAGUCUGAUUAGCCAUGUUGAUAUCCUCUGAAACGUUAGGCUCAACGUGGGAAUUGGAAUGUUCAGCUUGCUGGCCGGUGGUGUUAACAGGAAACUCCAAUGUUCGUCGUCCACUCCUUAAUAACAUAUACUAAAGGGUCUAAUCUACCUGCAAAGACAAAAACAAGAAAACAAAAUAAGUUCUGAAAAUCAAAUAAAUUUGACUAUGUCGCUUCCCCGGCAACGGCGCCAAAAUUUGGUAGCUGUCGUUAUGACCACCGAAUUUAAUUCCUCUACUCAACCAAUAUUAACUGGUAAUAUAGAGUAAGUACAGGAUCGUCCCACGAAGAAGCUUACAACAAAUCUAUUUGAAGUGAUUUAAAAUUAAAGUAACGUAAAAGCAUGCAAAAUAAAAAGGAAAAGUGGGGGGGUUUAUGUGUUACGAUCGAUAAAAAUAAUCUCAAAUAACAAAUAAGCUUUGGCUCGAAUUAAAACUGCUGAGAAGAAAAUAUCAAGAGAAGAAUAAUGCUUAGUUAUUAACGCCUUAAUCCACCCAGCACAAGUUCUUUGAAACCUGAAAUUAAGAAAUCAAAUUAGCAGCAAGGCUGAAAAAAAUCGCUUACGAAGCAAUUUCUUAUCUCUAGUAAAUUAUUCAAUUAGAGAACGUUCAUGAUUGAAACCUUCCUUUAAUUAUCUCUGUGUCGACUUUGUUAAAAGAAUUUAAAAGAUUUAGAGGCUUCGCUUUGCCUUAACCAAAGAAAAUCCACCAGCGGCUUCUAAGAUUAAAUCCGUAGUUGUCUUAAUUAGCUGCGGCAAAUUAAUUAUCACUAAUUCUAAGCUUAAUUGAGAAAUUCGAUUCCUCAAUUUACACUUAAAUGAUGAUAGGGAAAAUUCCCAAUUUAAUUAGGUGAUCACUCCAAUUGAAUUAGAAAAAUUCCUUGAAAGAUAAAAUCAAACAACUCAAGAAUGCCGAAUUCAAAUUUAGAACAAAGUAAACCUUCAAAUCACUUGUGCUCGGUUUCAUAAGAGUCUAACUAAGCUUAAAUAGAUUAGCUGCUCAUAGCAAGUAAAGUUAAACAAGAAUCAAUUUGUAAACACAUGAAUUACAAACUGAAUUUUGGAAAGGAAAAUUCCUCAAGUUGUCGAGCUUCCCCUUCUCUCAAAUAGCUGAAAUUUCGGGCUGCUUCUUCAACUCCUUGGUCGUCCUUUGCUGGUUCAAUCUCAGGAAUUUUGCUUGCUCGAGUCACGCAUUUUUGCUCUGUUCAUUCUCUGAUUUUUUUCUUCACCUCCUCUUUUUUUCAGCUGCUAUCAUCUCUAUUUAUGGGAUAAUAACCUCCAAUCAAUUCAAAAAUUAAAAUCAAUCUUAUCCCCCCUUUUUCUUAGCCUUACCCGUCGCAUGAAAAUAGCUUCAGCUUAGUAGAGUUUUAAUUCAACUCUUCAAUGCUGAUUUGGCUUCCAAUUGUUUAAACUAGAGUCGGCCACCGCUUGGCAUGAAGGAAAUAAUAAUUCCCUUCUUAAUUUUGUCGCAUGUUUGGCUUCCAAUUGGACCGACUGCUCCUCCAUUGUUUGUUUAAUUCAUUCGGCCUGCUGUCUUUUUAUUGGACCGAAUUUUUGCUACCAAUUAAAAUUCAAUUCCUUCAGCCAACAUAUGAUCAACAUUCAGCAGCUUAAUCAUUCCAAUUUGAGCUCAUACGGAAAUCCAAAUGUCAUUCACCUGCACAUGACUUAAAAUUUUAACAUUAAAUAAUUGAAUUGGAGCUAAAAAAACAUUAUUACGGCAUGGGAUGUUCUUGCUGUAAUUUAAACUAAUUCGACAUUCAAUUUCUCAAAAUUUAAUCAAUAAUUUAAAUAAUUUAGUUGAAUAAGUUAAGCUCAGAAUUGAACUUAACAUCUGUUGCAUUGCAUUGCAUGACUGUUGGUUACACCCUUUUAAGUGGGAGUGAGAAACUACGCCUUCGUGAGGAUUUCACCUCCGCACGGGAUAGUGGAUCACUUUCGGGAUACAUCCGUACCUAUGUCUUCGUGAGAUUUUCAUCUCCGCAUGGCCAUAGGGAAAUGUAUUCCCCUGAAUUUAACUCAGCCCAUAUGAGCCUAUAAUGGGUGAGGAUCGAGGAAUCUGUUGGUUCAGGUACCCUUACUUUAGAACCAAACCGCAUAUAAUGAGCCCUAAGAGCCUACCCUAGGUAGAACCAUACCAAAUCCCUAGAGGUCACCUGAAAACUUGGUUUAAAUUUACGAUUAUUUUGUUGUAUUUCGUUUGUUUUGUUACAAUUUUCAUUACUUCGGUUUGUAAUUAGUCUAUUGGCUUGAAUUUUUGAUAUGUUUCUGCAUAUUGCAUUACAUAACCGCUCGGUUACACCCUUUUAAGUAGGAGUGAGAAACUGCUCCUUUGUGAUGUUUUCACCUCCGUCCAGGAUAGUGGAUCGCUUUCGGGAUAUAUCUGUACCUAUGUCUUCGUGAGAUUUUUUCCUCCGUGCAGCCAUAGGGAAAUGUAUUCCCCCGAAUCGAACUCGAUCCGCAUGAGCCUAUAAUGGGUGAAGAUCGAGGAAUCUGCUAGUUCGAGUACCCUUGCUUUAGAACCAAACCACAUGUAGAGGACCUUAGGAGCCCACCUUAGGUAGAGCCACUUCAAACCCCUAGUGGUUACCCGAAUAGGUACUCUAUUUUUCUUGUUUGCUUUUGUGUACUCUAUUUUUCUUGUUUGCUUUUGCUUUGUACUAACCUGUUUCGUUUUGUUUUGGUUAUGAUUGCAUUGCAUUUUUAUCUUAAAAAAAAGGUGUUGAUUCAAGUUUGAUUACUAAAUUAGAAAGCUUGUCUUGGAAAACGGAUUUCUUGAUAAAGUGAAAGAUAAUAUGGCUGCCCGAAUACAUUCCAAGAAACACGACAAAAAAAAGUGAUGGAAGAGUACAUGAUUUUACUUCGUGGCCCGAAGAUUCAAGCUAAUUAUUUGAGAGUCACCGACAUUUCAACAUCCUUAAAGAAGCUGAUGAGCAUUGCGAGGAUGAGCAAAUGAUGGAUCGCAGCCAGGAUCAAGCAAGAAAGAGCUAGUAGUGGCAUCCAUUGGAAAUUUACAGGAUUUAUCUUAAACAUUCGGAUAAAGAGGAAGCUUCAUGUAAAGAAAUUUGUUUUUUAGUAAAGUUUUCUAAAUGGAAUUGAAUCAGAUUUAACGUCUUUUUUGCAUUCAUUUCAUGCAUUUGCAUUACAUGACAUCACAUGCAUUAAAGAUCAUUAAAAGACCCUAAUUGAGUAAAAUUAUUUCAGCUAAUCUGGAAAACUGACACCCUUAAGGUAUCCAACGUAAAACCAAAGAAAUGGAUCAGAGACUAGAGGGAUUAGAGCAAUUGCAAGCCCAGAUACAAGCCCAGAUGCAAGAACAACUAGAAAAGAUCCAAGAAGACAUACAAGAAUCCCAAAUGAGCUCGAUGAACCAAUUAGCACAACUCUCAGCUAGAGAUAAAAAGAAAAACCCUGUAGUCAAUUCUGGGGAUGAAUAUGAAGACCCUACCUAUCCCACAGGUUCCACCCCAAUAGGCAUCUAGGCCCAACCCGACGUGCAUCUACAAGGGGCGCCCACUACUAGCAGACCCCAACGAUAUCAGGCCGGUACCUCGGCACCAAUGAACUACCCGACAGGCUCAGGUUCCAAUCCAUGGAAUGAUCCAACCAAUCUUGUAGUUUCUGAUUUAGACGUAAUGGCAGAAAUAGAAAAAGCAAGGGUAGAACUGCCAAAGCAACUCAAAGAUCGGUAUAGGUGGUUAGAAGAAAAACUCAUAACAAUAGAGAAUGCUGAUUACCAUUGCGGGAUUGAUUCCAAUGAUCUAAGUUUGGUCCCAGAUCUAGUACUCCCGUCAAAAUUCAAGGCUCCAGAAUUCGAAAAAUACAAUGGGUGUAACAGCCCGAUUCUGAGCCUAAUUGGAACAGUGGUUUCGGGACCACAAAUCCAACGAGAGAAAAUAUGAUUAUAAUUAUAUUUUUAUGGUCUACAAUUUCACAGAAAAAUUUUGUAAAAAUUUUGUUCAAAAAUUUUGACGUUUGGGCACUCAAUUUAGUCAAAAGGACUAAAUUGUAAAAAGUGCAAAAGUUGAGUUCUACAUGUUAGAAGUGUUUAAUUGUUAUGACAUUAUAAAUUGGGGGUCCUUAUAUGAUAAUUAGACCAUUAGUUAAUUAUGGACAAAAAUAGACAUAAGAAAUGGGUGAAAUAGAUUUUUUUUUGAAUGGGGGCAUUUUAGUUAUUUAGUAAUAAAAAGAAUUAAAAAGGGAAAAAGAUGGCAACAUGUGCUCAUCUUCUUCAUGGUGAACGAAAUCAGAAAAGGGGAAGCCAUAGUUAGGGUUUUUAAGCUUCCAAGCUCAAUAGUAAGUGAUUCCAACCCCGUUUUUAAUGUUCUUUACGUUUUUGGAGUCCCGGUAACUUAAUUUAGCUUAUUCUAGCAAUAAUUCAUGUUAGGGUUCAUAUUUGGAAAAAUACCCAUAGGUGAAAUGUGUUUAUUUUUCUGUUUUAUGGUAGAAUAUGAAUAUAUAAAUUAUGUUAAACAACUUUUGCUAAGCAAUUUUAAGCGAAAACGGGUAAAUUAACAUAAUCGGUAAAAAUACCUAAUGUUCAAAAGUGUGUGUUAGAGUGAGAAUUUGAUGUUUUCAUAGAAGGAAAAAAUGUUCAGCAUGUCAUAAAACAUAAAAAUAAGAUAUUAAUUUUAAUUUUUGAGCUUAGGGACAAAAGUGUAAAUAUGCAAAAGUUUGGGGGGGAAAUUGUAAUUUUUCAAAAAGUUGGGUGGAGGACUAUUUUAUUAAAUGUGAACAUUAAAUGAGUUAAAUUUGCUAUUAUAGAUAAAAAAGACGAGAAGAUUACCUCAAACAGGGAAAAGAGAAGAUAGUGGAGUAAAUUACAAAAUUACGAUAUUUUGCACCAAGGUAAGUAAACAUGUGGUUUAAUGCAUUAUUUUGAUAUUAUUCAAUAUAUGUUGGGAUUUAAUAGAACAUAGAAUAAAUAUUCGGCAAGAUCCUAAAAAUGUGGUUAAGUUGGGAAAGGUGGUAAAAUGUUGAAAAUAUGGGUUUCGGUUGAACACUCGGAAUAAGCCAGAGUACAUUGAAUAUAAAGGGGGUUGCUAAGUGAUGAUUCCCCGACUCAUUGGUGGUUGCUAAGUGCUGAUUCCACCGUAUCUUUGACUAUAAAGGGGGUUGCUAUGUGCUGAUUCCCCAAGGGGUUACUAAGUGUUGAUUCCCCAAAUCAUUGGUGGUUGCGAAGUGCUGAUUCCACCGUAUCUUUGAAUGUGAAAGGGGUUGCUAAGUGCUGAUUCCCCGAAUUACUGGUGGUUGCUAAGUGCUGAAUCCACCGAUAACGGUUAACAUUCCGAGUGUUCAACGAGAAAAUUGGAAAGGUUAACAUUUAUAUAUGGUGGACAAGUUUAUAGGAGGAAUAUUGGGUUUGAUACUUAAUCAACCCAUGUAUAAGAUGGGAGGAAAUAUCAAAAAUACAAAAGAAACAAUUUAAAUACAAAACUGUUUUGAACAACAGCAGUUGGGAAACUUUGAAAAAUCACCAUAAAUGGUGGAAAAUGAAUUAGAGAUUGAAUAAUAUAUGAAAUUGAAUCGGAAUGAGUCUGUUUUCAUAUGAAAGAAACAGAACAAGCAAAAGAGUUGUAUAUUUUGGAUUUGGAUUUAUUUGAGAUAGGGUUGGAUUGAUUUUGAAAUCCCCUGUUCCAACUUUGGAAAAUAACCAAAAAUUGUAAACAAAUAAUUAUGGCCUGAAAUUUAUAUUCCUGGAUUCCUUAAUGAGUCUAUUUUUAAUAUAAACAAAUAAGAACAUUGUUCGAAUUUUCUAUAGGGAGUUAAUUAAAUUUUAGUAAAGGGAGGUCAGAACCAUUGGGCAGUGAACCAGGGGAAUCUUUAAAGAAUAAACUGUAAUGAUUGGCUAAAUCAAAAAUUCUAAAAAUUUUAUGGUGGAAAGGUUUAUGAGUCUAGUUUUGGGGAAAUUUUACGAAACUUAAUUUGGAGUCCUUUAGCUCUGGAUAAAAAUAAAUUAGCAUCAUUGACACAGAAAGACAGUUUGCUGGAAAUUAAACGAACCUUGAAAUUUAUGUGUGAUUAAAAUUUUGUUGCUAUGAAAUCAUGUGGGAAAUGUAUUUAUUUGUCAUAUGUUUACUUCCUAAGCUAUAUGCUUACUCGUUUUUAUUUUCCCUUGGUUAUAGUGACAUCAGCCAGCUCGAAAUUUGGACGAAGUCAGGAAAUCAUCCACACUAUCAACAACUUUUUGGGUAUUUUGUAAUUAAUAUUUUUGAAGUAUGGCAUGUAUAGAUGACUUUAUGUGAUAUGUUAUAAAUAUAUAUAUAGUAUUUUUCAGUUUAAUAUGUUGGUGAUUAUUAACGGAAAAAUUAUGUCUAAAUAUAUAUCUGUAAUUGGUUGAAAAUAUUGAAGUUGUUUGAAAUUGUUUUUGGAAAGUUGCAGGGGGUUUUAUGUAAAAACAAGCAGAAAUGCUGCCAAAAUUUUUAUAAAAAAAAUUAUAAGUGUUUGAGUUCUAGUAAUACCUCAUACUCUGUUUCGGCAAGAAACACGGGUAAGGGGUGUUACAAUGGGACUAGUCGUCCUGAAGCUCACAUCACAAUGUUCUGUCGAAGAAUGACAUGAUACAUUGAUAACGAUCAACUGUUAAUUCAUUGCUUCCAAAAUAGUCUGAUCGAGUCGGCUGCCAAAUUGUACAACCAGUUGAGCCGUGCCAAUAUCCACUCAUGGAAAGACUUAGCACAAGCUUUCAUGAAGCAAUAUGGUCACGUCACAGACCUGACACCUAAUAGAAUUACACUGCAGAACAUGGAAAAGAAGCAAAGUGAGAGUUUUAGGCAAUAUGCCCAAAGAUAGAGAGAGGUAGCGACACAAGUCCAACCACCUCUUCUGGAAAAAAAACUACAGUACUUUUCGUCAACACUCUGAAAGCCCCAUUCAUUAACCACAUGUUGGGAAGUGCUACCAUGAGCUUCUCAGAUAUGGUAAUGUCUGGCGAGAUGAUUGAAAAUGCCACAAGAAGUGGGAGGAUAGAUACGGGAGAAAGCGUUAAAAGAUCAAACCCAAUGAAUAAGAAAAUAAAGUAAGCAACCUGAGCAUGUAUAAUGAAGGGUAUCCCAAACCGGUCACUGUGGGCCAACCGAAGGUCAUAACCGCCGGCUAUCAAAGUAUUAACGUCGUAUCAAAAAUGGGGGUUGGUGAGGAGAACACACUUGGAAGUGUUUUGAAUAGUGGGACUGCGAAAGAGAUCCCUAUAUUUUUUAGAGCUAAUUCGGAGUAAUGUCCAAAACACGCUUAUUACUCUAAGCCUAGGGGCAAUAAGAAUCCUUUUGUGAGAUAAUCUUAUGUCCAACACCUUUAUUUCAAUAAAAUGCAUAUUUGUUUCUCACUUUGAACAAAUAUUCUUUUAUUGUUUCCAUUUCAUUCAUAAUCAUACUAUACAGAUAAAUAUUCUUAGAUUCUUUUAUUCUUUGGAUUUACAUUCGUCUUAUAACAGGUCUUCAGAUAUCAAUGAUAUCAACGACACUGCUAUUGACUCAGAACCUCCUUUUGAGCAGGAUAUGUGUCUAGAUUAAACCUCAUGACUUUAGAGAUAACUAAGACUGUAGCUUAUCUUCUGAUUUGUUAAAGACGGGAGAAUAAGAUUCUACCUUUACACAGAAUCAAUGAAAGCCAUGGCCUAUCUCUAUGUGGGUCACAGAUGUUAUAGGGUCGAUCUCACCUAAAAUUUUUGACGGUUAUCUUUAUGGUCAUCAAUUACAUCACUAAGUAGGCAGAAGCUGCUUCAUAAGCCAAUUCCGCAAAGUCAGCAGUCUGUGAAAAAUCAUAUGUCAGUAUGAAAUGCCAAAAAGGAGCAUAUCUGACAAUGCACUAAAAUUGAACAACGGCACGAUGUUAGAAGUUUGCUAUCUGUUCAUGGUUAACACAUUUUGCCCCAAAAUGCACGGUGCAGUGGUAGCAAAAAUAAAACAAAAAAGAGAGAAAAAAUUGCUACCGGGGUAACACAUUGGCUUAUCGCAGUUUUACUCAUUGAGGUCAAGACUCUUUCUCUCCGAGUGUUGGAUCAGAUCUCGAUUGAAGAGAAACGUUCAAAGCAAUCUGUCUUGGUCAAAAGCACCAAAAACAAAAGACGUGAGCUCACCAAAGAAGGUUCGUCCUAGAGAGUUCCAUGAAAGGGGACAACAUCGAAGAAAAUCCUUCUCAUACAAAAAGAGCUUUAGCAAAAAGAGGAUAUCAAAUUGAAAAUGACCUUAUGUGGAAGGUCUUAUCUAGAGAAGCGUUGAAUUUAACCAGAAAGGAUAGCAAGGACUUACCUAAUCCUAUGAGUUUGAAUUCAAUCAAAGAAUGUUAAAACAAAAACAAAAAAAAAUGAAAAAUGAAAAGAAGAGAAAAGAGGAAAAAGAAAAGAAAAAGGAGAGGCCAAGGUGAAAACCCACAGAGGGCGCCUUGAGACCAAAUGGGUUUUGAAUUGAAAACCCAGGAAUAGGCAAUUCAAAUUUUGAUCAAAAGUGGGGCAUGCGGUAGCCUUGUCCUCUCUGAAUUAAUAAGAAGGAGAGAUGCUACAUCUUGGGGCAUCAACAAAGUCUUCCAGGACUUCUAAACAUAUAUCAAGUUCGAAAGGGUCCUCAAGAAGUUUGGGACAGAGAAGCUCAUGCUAUGAUAUCUGGGGCACCUGUUUCCAUUUUAUUCAUUUUUAUUUUGGCAAAAUAUGCCAUCUUGAUUAAUUUAUUUUCAUUUUGUAUCUUAGCAAAAUUUGCUAUCUUGAUUAAUUUAUUCAUUUCGAGCUUUGCUCUCAAUAAAAUUCUAUCUUAUUCAUUGUGAUAAUCUUUUUUCGUCUUAUUCAGUUCGUAUCUUAGCAAAAUUUGCUAUCUUGAUUAAUUUAUUCAUUUUGAACCUUAUUCUCAAUAAAAUUCCAUCUUGUCCAUUUUGAUAAUAUUUUUCAAGCAUUUUUCAUUGAAAUAAUGAUUAAUGGACUGAUAAUAUUCAAGCAAAAGGAGUUUUGCAUAUUACUCUGAAAGUUUCUAAAUAAUACAGGAACCUGAAACAGGACUAGUGUUUAGAGCACACUAAGUUUAAAGGGUGAAAUGUCUAAGAAGGAAAAGUCUAAAUUAAGAUUAUCCUUUCAAAUUUUACUGUCCAAGUAUGGAUUGAACAAAACGACAAAAUGUCGUGUUGGUGACAAAGCUUCAAUGAACAAAUGAGCAAUGAUCACCGAGUGAUAAAAAGAGGUUUCUUGGAAGAGAAAGUUCUAUAAUUGUGAAUAAAUAUUUGGUACGACACCCUGGGAAUGGUGUAGGAGACCAAAGAGAUUCAGAUCUUGUAUCCCUAAAUUACAGUGGGACAGGAUUGAGAAAGAGCCAGAUCUUAUACUCAGUGGGAAGAAGAUGACUCGAAUUUUAUGUCCUAAAAUUACCGUGGACUUAACCUUGAAGAUUACAACGUAUUGAACUUUGAAGAUUACAGUGGGAGGCAAUUCGCCUAAGUAAGAGAUCAGUGUUACCAGCCGAGCAAGAUAGCAUUCUGACGUGUUGGCGAUAAAACCUUAUUGAAUAACGAGUAAUGACAACCUAAGCAUUAAAAGGGGAUCAUUCUCAAAAAAUGACAUUCAGCAUUCAUGCAAAUAUCAUUCAAUGCAAAUAUCAUUCAUACACGUCUAGAUAGGAGCAUUUGAUUCAUUCUGAUCAUGUCAUCCUAAUUACUAGGUACAAUUAGGUUCAUUAAAUAGAAUAUACAGGUCAUGUUCCCCAGAGAAUAGAUCAAUGAAGUUACCCAUACCCUUGAAGUUGUAGCGGGAUGGAUUGAAGUCAUCAUAUCAAGUCCUAUUUCCUAGAAAUUGUAGAGGAGUAGACUAGAAACAACAGAUCUUGUCUUCCUGUACUUGGUGAUAGUAAACUACUUGGUGACGCCAGUUGACCGGGGUGUUCGACAUUUUUUUCGUUUUUGUAAAAUUGUUCAAGACCUCAAUGAUCAACGACAAAGUCUGAUCACAGAAUAACCUCGAGUGCAAAAUACUAUUGAAGCGGCUAAAAGGUAUACUCAAACUCAAGUAAUCGAGAAAUAUGUAGAAGAUUGGUUGACUGAUGCAACAAAUGUCCUGAAAAAUGUGGAGAUUUUGAAACAUAGAGUAGAAGAACAUAAAAAAUGUUUACAUUGCUUUCCUAAUUUAUGGUGGCAGUAUAGACUAUGUAAGGCUAUAGAGGAUGAGGUACCAUCCAUCAAGAGGCAUAUCAAUUGGUCUAAAUUUGAAAAAAUCGGGCAUCGUGUUCAGACUCCUAUUAUAGAAUUCUUAGCAUCUAAACAUAUAGUACCUUCUAAAUCUUAGUGUUUCUUUUAAUGAGAUAAAAGGAGGCAUUGAAGGAUGAUAAAGUGCAAAAGAUCAAAGGAUGAUGUUAUGUAAUUCAUACAUACAUACAUACAUACAUACAUACAGACAGAGAAAACAAAGCUAUUGGAAGCUAUGCAAUGAUUUCAUAUACAUGUUGUGUGUUGCCAUAAAGCAGUUUAUAGUGAUUUAAAUUCCUUAGGUCCUUACAAGAGAAGAAAAUGGAAAGAGAGAAUCUACAAGCCACUAAUCAGCAAAAUUUAAUCACAAGAGAAAAAGCUUUAAGUUGUUAUGAUUCUACCUCUUCUAGUUGGUUCUCUGUGACAUUUGAUGCUUCUCUGGUCUUUGUUGAAAACUUGUAAGGAUCUGUUAAGCAAGGGUCUGUCUGAAUCAACAAUUGCAAAACCUCAUUCAUUGUUGGACGUUGAGAUGGAUUCUUACAUGUACAACAUAUUGCAAUUCUAAGAACUUGAAUCAUCUCAUCCUUAAAUGACCCCAACAAGUUCUUGUCUAAGACCUCCAUUACCCCUUCCUUUGUAUCCAGCUUUGUUGUAACCCAAUAUACAAUGUUCUUAUACUCUCUGAAAUCGGCAUCCACUGGUUUCUUCCCUGUUAUUAGUUCCAUCAACACCACCCCGAAACUAUAAACAUCGCACUUCGCUGUCGCUUUAUUUGAAUAUGCAUAUUUUGUUAUAAUCAACAAUCACAUUAAGUUCAACAACAACAAAAUGAAAAAACAUAUGAAAUAACAUGACGUGUCUUACCAGGGGCUAAGUAAUCAUAUGUGCCUACUAUGAUUGUAGAGGUUGAAUCUUUCAAUACUUUGGCUAUUCUGAAAUUGGAAACUUUGGGUUGGUAAUUCAUAUCAAGUAGGAUGUUGGUUGGUUUGAUGUCUAUGAAUGAUUGGUGGUAAUAGAUGAUGGAGAAGGUAUGCUAAGCCUUGUGCAAGCCCAAGUGCGAAAUGGAACCAUCCUUUAUGUAGAGUAUCCCAAAGGUUUCCAUCUGGCAUGUACGCGUAAACCAAAAGAUGACAUUCGAAGUUCGAGAAGUAGCUAUAUAGUUUGACUAUGUUUUUAUGCCUUAUGUUUCCAAGAGUCUCUGACCUCGGUGUUCAAGCAUUUGUUUAUAAUCAACGGAUCCUCUGUGGCCUGCUAUGUUCUUGUCGACCAAUGCUUCGAGGAUGUCAUGUAGGUCAAAAAAUGCUUUAUGGAAGCUCUUCAUGUCGUAAGAACAAAACGAUGAAGAGAAGGUCUCUUCAUGUUCCAACACAAAUUAGGAAAGCAAUUGCAACACUUUGGAUUUGCUUGCAUUUUAUUUUCAUUAUUUUCCAUUUAUUAUUUUUAAUAAUUUUUAACACCCAAAAAUUUACUGCAAACCCUAGCUAUAGGUUUUGUUUCACAAAAAAUGUAGCAAAACCUUGCAGAUCUGACCCCUCAGAUUUGUAUGUGGCUGCUUGAAGACAUGGAUCAAUAAAGUGUUUAUGUGUGGCUGCGUUGUUCUUUCGAUGAUUUCUAUGAGACACGUAUCAAUUCAGUUUUGAGGAUGAUGCACGAGUGAGGAACGAAGUGGGAAUGCGAGAUUUGUGGAUACUUGAUUACACAUGUUACGACGUCUUGGUUGGUUAAUCGGUUUGAAUGAUAGCAGUGUACAAGCAAAGAAGUUACCAGAUGCAAAGCCUCACCCGGCUGAAGUACAGCCGGUGGUAAUGUUGGAUGGUGUCUAGGAGAUUGCAAUUUACAUCCAUAGGUUUCAUAACCUUGAUCUUUUCCAGCAAGGGUAUGGGGAUUUUUUUUUUGCAUUGUUCUGUUUAUUUUCAAGUUUUAUACAUAUGAAUUAUCUUCUGGUUCUUGUGUGCUUAGAUGGUAUCAACUGAAGCUUACUGUUAGAUGGGACAAUGAUGAGUAUGCUCCUGUAAGAGCACCUACGAGAGUCGUCCAAUACGAAGGUUAUUUGGUGAAAUUGUUGUUUUUUUCUUCUAAUGCUUCCACUUCGUCAUAAGAUUAGAAAUCAAGUUAUGUUGCAUAUAUAAACCUUUUGAAAUGUAGCUGCAUUCUGGCAUUUUAUAUUUAAACUAGUCCCUCUAGAAGAGUAUGCUAUAUUAGCUCAUCGACUGAUUUCGAUGUAGUUAAAGCAAAUAGAUAUAAUGUCCUUUAUAUUCUCAAUUAAAAAUGACAAUUGGUUUUCAUUUUGUUGAAUGGUGAAUUAUUUUUUGAACUAUUUGUUGUUUUCUCCUACUUAUUUAAUGAGUUUUAUACUUCACUCUGAAAGCUUAAUGCAGUAGUGGUUUAGAGAGCAGUUCUUUGUUAAUAAGAUUAGAAAAUGUUGCAGCCGCAAGUCUUGUUUCUGAUGAAGUAUUUGGAGUAUGGAGGAUUGAUGAUACGGACAACAGUUUUACAACACAGCCUUUUCGAAUCAAAUAUGCGAGACAGGAUGUUUAUCUAUCUAUCAUGGUUGCCUUUGAUCUACCUAUUCCUGAAAAUGAGGUAGCCAAUCUUUUUCUUGUGUAGCUCUGCAUUCCCUUGAAUAGGGAAGCACACCAAAUACGUUACCAACCAGAAACCUUUCUUUGGCUUCUGAUACCUCUAAGCUAACAGAUGCUAAAAUCUCUGCUCCAACCAUAUGAAAAUAGAAAUGAUAUUGGAUCUUCCUGAAAGUCGACAGGGUUUUCAUUCAAUCUAAUUUUGCUACUCAGAAAGGAAAUGUAUAGAAGCUUUUCUACUUUGAUUCUGUUUGGCUAUUGUCUAUUCAUGAAAGUCAACUUUUGUUUCUCAUAUUAGCACUGAUGUAGCAUUAUCCGACAGGGUCCUCCCUCAUCAGCUGUCAUAUUGAAGCUUGAGCUUCUAUAUGCACCUAUAUUGGUAAAUGGGUAAGUUGAGGACUCCUAUUUACGUAUGAAUGGUUAAAAUUUAAAGUUUAUACUUAUAUUCCUUGUGCUAAAGUUUUUCAUUUCUCUUAUCAAUUUUUUUUCCAAGUUAAAACUGCCCAUAAUUGAUUGGGAUGCAUUCAAUCAGUUCUGAUUUUCAGGCUUCUCCUGAUUAUUGCCCGGCUGCCAUUCAUGAAUUCCCAAUCCCUCCUAAAGCUCUUUUAGGACUUCAUUCUUAUUGCCCUGUUUACUUUGAUGCAUUUCAUGCUAUUCUUGAGGAUGUAAGUGUUCACACGACUCUGCUAAAAGCUGGUUCUCGCAAGGUCUACACGAAGGUACCCAGGUUUGUCUCAGAUCUAGAAACAAUGAUGACUAACCUUCGCACCAACCAUAUUCCUCUCAACUCCUCUUCCGAACCCUUUUUCAGGGUGGUGGCAGGGGUGGUUGUUUUGGGGAAAUGAGAUAAAGGGAGAGGGGUGGUUUCAUUUAUUAAAGUAAAAUUGUGCUUUGAUGAUGUGUUGAAGUAACUUGACCUGUUGAAUCAUUUCAGCAUUUCUUAUUCUACAACUAAUGAUGUUUCCGUUGAAAGCAUUGAUGGAUCUACUCAGGUUUGUUCUAAACUUUUAAAAUUGAAAUGCAAUAACUACCCUUAACCGUAGCUUUCCCAUUUGUGCUUCUGCUUGAUUGUGGCAUUACAUUUAAUAGAUAUUUGGUGUCACUACUGGAAUGUGGCAUCGAUAAAUGUUUUAUGGCUGUAAUAUAAUCUCAGAAUCUAGUGUGCAAGGUGUGUGCAUGAGAACAAAGUUUAUUACCUUAUUGUGGAUCUAGUCUAUUCAUUGGACUGGUGGAAAUUGUGAGUUGUGGUUAGUGGAAUGUAUGAAUUUCAUGAGACUUGAUUAUUUAAGCUGUAAGAGGUUACUAUAUCCAUUUCCAAUUCUUAAUUUAAGUGGUAUGGGUUUAAUGAAACUUUUUCUUGUGGGAUAUGUGGGUAAUAAGGGAUAUUCAUUGUAUUGCUUUAAUUCAGCUUCUUGUUAUCCUCGAUAAUCAAUAUUAAUGCACUAAUAGUUCGACUACGUGGUUGACCAGGCACUGGAUCAAGUGGCUUCUACUGAUCUGAAACAGGUCAUGCUUGUUAAGGCAUUAUUAAAUGCUCGUGACACACUGCUUGCGGAGCCGAAAGAACUUAGUUUGGGAGCUUUAGGAAUGGAAACACUGAAAUGGAAACACUGAAAUGACUCCAGAUUAUAUUUCCUCUAAUUUUCAAUCUGACUGAACCUAGUUUUGCUGCUAAUGACAGCUUUAGGAAGAACACAGGUAAAAGUACCAUGGAAGCCCCUGUACUAGGAGUUAGAUUGCAUUUGCCCCCUCAACUAAACGAAAAGGGCAAAUUAGUCUCUAUAUGUUAGAUCAAAGAGCAAAUUGAUCUUUUCUGUUAAAAAUUUCAUUCAUUUGUAUUGUUAAAACUGACUUGGAUGACAGAAUAACCGGAUAGUGACAAGGGAUUUAAAUUGCGGUUGCGACCAUAUUUUCGGUCGCGUUGUGUUUAUCGCGGUUGCGGAUAUAACGGAUGCUAUUGUAGUCACUGCAGAUAUCGCGAUCGUGAUUUUUUUUAAAAUUCGCACAAUUCUAAUAAAAAUAUGUAACUAAAUUUUAAAUUGAUAUUUUUAGUUGUAAGAUAGUUUGAGGGAAUUUUAGAAGUUGAUUGUUGGAUUGGGUAAAGAGAAUGGGCAGCACACAACAGUGAAAUUUCUAGACACCAAACAAAAAUUAAAAUAGACACCAAAUUUAAUAAAAGUCAAAUAUAAAUCCACAAGCCCAAAAAAAAAUUAAAACAAAAUCUUAUAAUAUAAAAAAAGAAAUGGAUGGUGGUAGGAAAAGAUAAAGCAUUAGGAUUAGGUGGCCUAACUUAGGCCAUCAGAUUCAUUUCAGCUCUGCCUUUCAACUCUCAACUCAAGUCUACCGUCAGACAACAAUAAAUGAUUAAAAACAAAAACAUUGGAAACCCAAAACACCCCAAAUUUUUUCAAAACCCAUUCAAAUCUCAAAGCAUCCUUCAAAUUCCAAACCUUUCCAGUUUCCCGUUCUCCCUAGCAGCCUAAAUAUUUCUCAUCAGUCAUCCCCCUAACCUAAUUUGCAGAUUCAAAACUUGUUUGUUAUCUCAUCAGUCAUCCCUAACCUAAAGAAUAUAUGUUCGCAAUUUUUGGCAUUUUACAACAAAAAAGAAGGGAGAAUUCAAGACAAAAAAAAUUCAAGUACUUACUUGAAAGUUGAACAUUGCUGCUGUUGUUUAUUCGGCUAAGCCCCCUAAAUUUUUUUCUUUCACUCAUUUAAACUCUUGAACGUUAAAAUUACAAUCAAUUAAAUUUUUUGACCGUUAAAAUAAACAGUCAAGGUUACAAAGCUAAGGGUGCCAGUUUUUUCCAGGCUAUUUUUACCCCAUGGCAUACUAGGAUGGUUCCAUCUGAAAAAAAAAACAUUUUAUAUAUUAAAUCAUUAAAAAUACAUUUUUAUGAUUUUCUAUGAAUUUUUUAUAAAUUUUUAUUUUAUUUUAAUGUUUUAUAUGUAAAAUACUAUUUCCCUAAAUUUCGGGAAAGAACGGCCUAAAACCCUAAUUUCUUUUUAAAAUCGACAUAUUUGCUUAACUAAGACAUGAAGAAAAUAUUGUAUUGUAUAAUUGAAAAAACAAAUUUCAAUUCUUGAAUAAUAUAUUAUUCAAAACUAAGGUUUUUAGGCGCCAAUAAAAUUUUGCCACAUCAUCAAAUUUUAAAGACAUGAAAUUAAUAUACAUCCAUCCAUGUUCAACUAACUCUCGAACUCUAAUUUUUUUUGUUAAAAAAACUUAAGUAAUUAAAAUUUUAAAAAAUCAAAUAACAUAAAAACUUUAAAAUUUACACAACUCUAUCUACAAUUUUUUUAACACAAUUCUUGUUAUUGAAGAUUCAAUGCAAUAUAAUUUUUACUUUUAAAAAGUAUAUAAUAUGAAAUAAAAAUAAAUUAAAAAGAAAAAAAUCCACUACCUAGAAACCUUUUUUUUGUUAAAUUAAUUGCGUAAAAAUUAAAAAAAAUAACUUAUGGAAAAAAUAAAAAUGAUUAAAAAUUGUAAAAGAAAAAAAAUAUGUUUGUUUAUAAUUUAAAAUAUUAAUUAUUUUAAGUAAAUUAAAUUUAAAUUAAGUUGGGGAAGAUAAUAGAUAUAGAUGAAUGUAUAAUAAUAUUUUAUUAUCUUUAGAUUUUAUGAUGUGGCACUAUUUUAUUAGUGUCUACGAACUAUAUGUUUUAGGAUCAUCCUAACAUAAUUUAUUCUGUUCAUUUUAUUAUCAAGUUAAUGAAUGACAAGGAAAAGGGUUUUUAUUUUUUAAUUAUUUUUUAUUUUGUGAGAUUGACAAGUCUUUAGUUUCAUGAAUAUUUAUAUGACAAAAUUAAAAAAUAUAUAAAAAUUAUUAAAUAUUAGUUUAAAUUUAUUUAUUUCAAUGAAUAAAAAUUCAGAAAAGAUAAUUCGCGUGAACUAUAUAAUUAACAUAAAAUUCUUCAUGAAAAACUUUGAUAACUUUGAUCUACCUAUUCCUGACAAUGAGGUAGUCAAUCUCUUUCUUGUGUAUCUCUGCAUUCCCUUGAACAGGGAAGCACACCAAAUACGUUACCAACCAGAAACCUUGCUUUGCUUCUGAUGCCUCUAAGCUAACAGAUGCUAAAAUCUCUAUUCCAACCAUAUGAAAAUUGAAAUGAUAUUGGAUCUUCCUGAAAGUCGACAGGGUUUUCAUUCAAUCUAAUUUUGCUACUCAGAAAGGAAAUGUAUAGAAGCUUUUCUACUUUGAUUCUGAUUGGCUAUUGUCUACCCAUGAAAGUCAAUUUUUGUUUCUCAUUUUGGCACUGAUGUAGCAUUAUCCGACAGGGUCCUCCCUCAUCAGCUGUCAUCUUGAAGUUUGAGCUUCUAUAUGCUCCUGUAUUGGUGAAUGGGUAAGUUGAGAACUCCUAUUUACGUAUGGAUGAUUAAAAUUUAAAGUUUAUACUUAUAUUCCUUGUGCUAAUGUGUUUCAUUUCUCUCAUCAAUUUUUUUUCUAAGUUAAAACUGCCCAUAAUUGAUUAGGAUGCAUUCAAAGUUCUGAUUUAUGGGCUUCUCCUGAUUAUUGCCCGGCUGCCAUCCAUGAAUUCCCAAUCCCUCCUAAAGCUCUUUUAGGACUUCAUUCUUAUUGCCCUAUUUACUUUGAUGCAUUUCAUGCUAUUCUUGUGGAUGUAAGUGUUCACACGACUAUACUAAAAGCUGGUUCUCGCAAGGUCCACACGAAGGUACCCAGGCUUGUCCCAGAUCUAGAAACAAUGAUGACUAACCUUCUCACCAACCGUAUUCCUCUCAUCUCCUCUUCCGAACCCUUUUUCAGGGUGGCGAUGGGGGUGGUUGUUUGGGGGAAAUGAGAUAAAGGGAGAGGGGUGAUUUUAUUUAAUGAAGUAAAAUUGUGCUUUGAUGAUAUGUUGAAGUAACUUGACCUGUUGAAUCAUUUCAGCAUUGCAUAUUCUACAACUAAUGAUGUUUCUCGUGAAAGCAUUGACGGAUCUACUCAGGUUUGUUCUAAACUUUUAAAAUUGAAAUGCAAUAACUACCCUUAACCAUAGCUUUCCUAUUUGUGCUUCUGCUUGAUUGUGUCAUUACAUUCAAUAGAUUUUUGGUGCCACUACUGGAAUGUGGCACGGAUAAAUGUUUUAUGGCUGUAAUAUAAUCUCAGAAUCUAGUGUGCAAGGUGUGUGCAUGAGAACAAAGUUUAUUACCUUAUUGUGGAUCUAGUUUAUUCAUUGGACUGGUGGAAAUUGUAGUGUUGACACCAUUUUUUGAUAAAACGGGGCCGACUUGGGUUUUGAAAAAAAAUAAAAUCGAAUGUGGGAGUCGCCACCAAUCUUUUUUGAUGAGGUGUGAUCGGGUCACCUCGAAAAGUGGUUGUUUUUAAUAAACGAUUUGAUUUUAUUAAAACAACGAUUUUGGUCCACGAAAUUCAAAAAAACAGGUUCGGGAGUCGGUUACGUACGAGGAAGGAUUAGCACCCUCGUAACGCCCAAAAAUUGGUACCUAGUUGAUUAGUUAAUGUCUUAAUGUCGAAAAUUGUAAACUUUGAAGAGAUUUAAAAUACGAUCUUUUAUUGAAAUACGAAAAAUAUUUGAAAAGAAAAAUGGCAUACUUCACGUUGAUCGAGAAAAAGAAUCGCAUCCCGUAAGUUAGGACAUAAUGUCUUGAAUUCCUGAGGCGCGAAUGAAUUGCCAAAAUUUAUUUAUUUUAAAAGAUCUUUGAUUAUCUCGAGUUUAGGAAAGAGAUCAUGUCCCGUGAGUUAGAACACGACUUUUCGUUAAUUCCCGAGAGCAUUUAAGAAACUUUGUUUAAAAUGAUCGCGUUUUUAGAUUUGUCGAGAAAACCGAAACCUCGUAAGUUAGGGUACGAUCUUUCGAAUAAUCGAAACACGAAAAAAAAAAUUUAUAUAUUGAAUAAAGUAAAAAUGUAAAGAAUGCGAAAAUAAAUUACAUUGGAUACGCAUGCGAAAUAACAAUAAAUACGAUAGUGUGACGUGAUACGAACGAUAGCAACAAAAUGAGAUAUGAAAAGAUGAAUUAAUAACAUGCUAAACAACGAGUAUAUAAGUAGGUUAGCGUGAAUAAACAAAUAAAUAAGUGAACAGAUGCAAAAGGGUAUAUGCAUAUGUAAAUGUAUAUAUAUAAUAAGGAAUAUGCAAGCAUGUGUAUAUAAAAAUUAAAAAUAUGUAUAAAAGAUAUAUAUAUAUAUAAGAUUUAUUAAAUAUAUAUAUGAAAAUAAAAAAUGUGUAUAUAAAGAUAUAUAAAUAAUAUAAGGUAUAAAAUAUAUAUACCUCUUUUCAGAUUAUCUAAAAGCAGGUAUACCUCUCCCUUUUUUAACUCCCUUUUUAUAUAUAAAUGUAUUUGCUAUGUGUAUAAAAACUGGUAAAUCGAUAGAUGGUUUCGAAAUGAAAAAAAAAAAAGGGAAGAGACCUUGGAUCCUUUUAUGCUUUCUUUUUGCUGGAAUCUGUUUCUCUUUUCUUUAUAUUUCUAAGUGAUGUUUUUACAAAAAGAAAAUAGGGGAAGCCGAACCCCUAAAACGAUAGCCAAGUUCGGCUUUUAUACAUCUCUUUCAUUGCUAGUGCUGUCGUUUCUCUUUAAAUGUUUGCAGGUACUUGUUGGCAUGACAGUGGCGGUGGAGCAGAGGCAAGUGGAGCGCGGCGCUUAGGGCGGUGGCAAGUGGGGUACUAGGGUUUCCUGCUUCCUCUUUUUGUCUGAUUAUUGUUUUGGGCCAUUUGGGCUGUGGGUUAGUUUGGGCUUUGGGUGUUGUAUUUGGGCCUGGGUAGUUGGGCCUGGGGUCAAAAAUUGGGGCCCUACAUGUAGGUUAUGGUUAGUAGAAUGUAUGAAUUUCAUGAGGCUUGAUUAUUUAAGCUGUAAGAGUUUAAUAUAGCCAUAAUUCUUGUGGGUUAUGUGGGUAAUAAGGGAAAUUCAUUGUAUUGCUUUAAUUCAGCUUCUUGUUAUCCUUGAUAAUCAAUAUUAAUGCACUAAUAGUUUGACUAUGCGGUUGACCAAGCACUGGAUCAAGUGGCUUCUACUGAUUUGAAGCAGGUCAUGCUUGUUAAGGCAUUAUUAAAUGCUCAUGACACACUGCUUGCGGAGCUGCAAAAACUUUGUGAUGCCACUAACCAUGCCAUUGAUUUGACUAAAUUUAUCUCCAAAAUGAACGAUAUGAAGUUAUUUGAUUCCUUUCUGCAAGAACCGGUUGGUGCUGAUGCUGAAGAUUCAGCACAAGGCAAGCCAGGAAAUGGUCUUGAGGUCCUUGCUUUAUGUUAUCGAACAGUGUACUCUUAUUCUUAUUUUUGUGUUUUAAUAUAUUAAAAUGAUAACACCUUUGUCUCUUAACAGAGAGAAAAUGGUAGAUUAGAGUUUCAAAAUGAUAGAUUGGUCCAUAAUUUAUCGAAGGAUGAUGUGCUUAAAAUAUUUAAUCUAUCGGGUGAUCAAGUGUUUUAUUUAUGGAACACUUUCCUGAAUUUCUGCGGGUUAGCGUAUACAUCUUCACUUCCUGUUCUUGUUGUUAAACAUUUUCUCCCCUAAAUAUAGGCUUGUUAUGCUUAGUAUCCCUCUUAUUAAAACUUAAGUCUCUUUCCAGGGAUAGUAAAACACGGAUAUUGGACUUCCUUCAUGAUGAAUGGGCUAAAGAUCGAAGAGCUGAAUGGUCAAUAUGGAUGGUGCACUCCAAAGUUGACAUGCCUCGUCGUUAGAUAAAUGGCAGUUUUGAUGAGUCUUCCCACCAAAUCGUGCAUAAGAGGGGUUCAAGUUUGUGGAAAUUAACAAAUGAUGUAAUUACUCAUUUAUGUUUUUAUUUAUUGGCUGACACAAUCGGCUAUGAACAACAAUAAUAUUUUUCAAUUCCAAAUUCAUCUUGUGGAAUGCAGCCUGCGCAGAUGGCAGCUAUGCGGGCUGAGCUUCAUCGGCAAAGUAUUGCACAAAUGAGGGUAAGUCCUUAUAUUUAAUGCUUAUUGUUUUUAUUUACAUAUGCCUUAGUUUACCGGUAAUGAUUGUUUGCACACAGAUGAACAACCGAUCAAUCCAAGACAUGCAAAUAUUUGGAGAUCCUUCAGGAAUUUCUAUUGUAAUUAUAGAGCAUGUAAUGAAUGCACUUCAACGUACUUGUAGGGAUAACUUGUACAUGAGGAACUUGGACAUAAUAGAUUCAAUUACCACAAGCACUGUUCCUAGUUCUGAAGCUAUGAAAAAGCUAUCAAGUGCAAGUGCUGCGCAAAUCUGAAAGGGUUUAAAUUUUUAUAAAAUCCUAUUAUGCUAGGGAUGAUAUAUAUAUUGGAUGCUGUGGAUUUAUUU
rnacentral:lncRNA from 1 species